UUUUUUUUUUUUUUUUUUUGGUCAGGGUGUCCGGGUCAAGACCCGAAGGCGGCCCGACUAAUCCCCUGCGCCUGAAGUACCCCGCCCCCCAAAAGCACCCAGGCGGUAUGUGAGGCCAGACUCGAACCUGUGCCACCCCGAAGAUUACCCCGAGGCUCACCAGCCGAGCUGACCCCGAGGGGCGAGCUUCUAGAUGGGUUCAGUUCAAUUACUUUUGUGUGGAAUGAGCUCCAAUUCCGGUCAAAUGACCCCACUUAAAUUUUAAAAACUUAUAUAUAUAUAUAUAUGUAUAUAUAUAUAAUACCAUAAUGCUUGAUCAAUAUCGUGGAAUAUUUUUCAGUAACACAGAAAUCAGUGGGACCAUACUGUUAAGUAAAUAUAAUACGAAAUACUUGAUCCAACAUAGUUGAAUAUUUUGCAGUAACACAGAAAUCCAACGGCAAGUUUUUACACAAUGUAGCAUUGAAGUCUCCUAUAAAAAAUGUAGGCAAAACAGCAAAUUUUACUUGAUACUGGUAACAGUGCAAUAUCUUUCUACCAAUCAUGCUCCAGACGUCAUCCCAUAAGAGUGUUGGAAAUACAUCAAGCCUGGUAAGGCAAAGAUUAAGGAUUAAUUUUUUCAAAAAAAAAAAAAGAUUAAGGAUUAAUUGCACUGUUGGGGCGAUUUCCUGCUACCAAUGGCUAGCUGUGUUGGAAUCAUGAGGUGGUUCCGGGUCUAAAUGGUUGCAUUGUCUUGAGUUCUCAUCUACUUAGAACUCAAAAGGGUCCCUUCUAGUUCCCCAGAUUUCUUCAAUUCUUCGCAUUUCUGUAAAUCAGAAAUUUACCAAUACUUGUAUUAGUGUAAGAACUUUUGUGUUAAUUCAUUAUCUAAUAAGCUAUUGUCUCACACAUAUCAUUAAUUUUUUUUUGAUAAAACGUCAUAAUUUCAUUAAAAUUUGCACUAAUGACGGAAGUUAUAUCAUCAAAUAUAUACAGAUAUUAAAGAAUAGAUCUAAAAAAUGGAUAUUGCAGAUCUGAAAAACAUAUAAAAAUUUCACUGGAAAGUUUCAAAAAACAUUUUAAAAAAAUAUGAGAUAAACUAAUUGUAACUCUACGAGCAUCUGUGCAUACUUCUAAUUGCCAAAUUUGUUGAUUAAUUGUAUAGACAAUGAACCAACCUCUUUCCAUAAUUGUUAAAAGCUUUAAUAACUAUCAUACCCAAUAACCUUAUUAAGAAUAAUAUACUCACUUACACAUAUAAUAGUGCUUUUUUGCUCAUGCGUAGUUAGGAAACUCUAGUUUAUUUUUGUACUUUUGUGUACUAUGGUCUAAGUUUUAAUUGUAAGCAUUAUGUCUGAAUUGUUACACCCCUGUUAAGAAAGACAAACAAAAAACAAACGAAAUUAUGACCCAAAAUCUCAAAAAUUGAAAAUUGUGCAUUAUGGGCAUAAGAAAAGUAAAAUAACUAUGCAAAAUCUACCAAUUGUAGCAAUUCUCACUCUUUAAUUUUGUUAAGAAAAUUGUGCUGGAUGAUUUCUAGCAAUCUUAUUAAUAAAAUUUCCUUAUUUAUACAAAAAAAUUCAAAGGGUAGUUUCUUAAGAAAAAAAAAGAGGAGACAAGCAUAAUGAAUGAUUAAGUCGUACAUGGUGGCAUAUUUCAUUUACAUUCAAGUAACGAAGUAUAUUUUAAUUUUGUUUUCACGUAAAACUCAUACAUUAACCGAUCAUACGUAAAUUAAGACAAGUGAUUUUUGAAGAUGAAUAUGAUAAUAGCAACAUCUUUAAUAAAUAUUUUACCUCAACUCUAUCUUUUGCUUGCUUCAAUGACUUUGAUCCGAUUACUUCUAUUUGCUAGUAACAAAUGCCACAAAGUAUACUAAUUGUUAUGCAGACUAGGCUUCAUCGUCAAAUUAAAGUGCCUUUUAUAGAAUUGUAAACAAAUUAAUCAAGUUUAAGGUAUCAUAUUUGCACAAGAAGCUUCCAAAGGACCGAAGCCUCCUUCUUUCGAGAAACGACAUUUGAACAAUUAAACCUAAUCUCAGAAGUCAACCCAAAGACCAAAGCCUCGCCGGCACAAUUUUUAUACCUACGACUUUCGAGUCCCCCACGUGAAUUGUGGGAGCCCACGUUGACAUCUUAUGACUUCUCUUGUGUUGCCAUCUCACUGGCUCUCAGUCCUUUUUAUUCUUAGCUACUAAGCAUACUAAUAGCUAGUUUGGGAGUUUAGAACAGAAAAGAAAAGAAAAGAAAGGAUAAGUUAGAAAAGAAAAGAAAGGAUGGAAAAGAAUCAAGUUUCUGUCUAAGUUGUUAAGUAGUUUUAAGAAAGAAAAGAAGGUAAGUAGUUUUCUUUUGUUUGGGAGUUGAAGAAAAAUAAAAAGAAAAGAUAUCCAAAUAAGUUACUUUACAAAUAUGCCCUUUUUAUAAGCAAAUGUGAAAGUUGAUGGAAAUUUGGUCGUUUGCUGCUAUCUAACGAAAACUAUAGAAUACUAGGAGGCAUAAACUACCAUCUCUUUAAGUGUUUUCUCUGUCAAAUAAAAAUUACCAUCUCUUUAUGUGUUUUCUUAUCGAAAGGAUGUCUUUUGACGAGGGUUUUGUAAUAGAGGGAUUCAUUGGAAAUUAAAAUAUUUUGAAUCAGGAUUUUAAGGGUAAUAUUGUCAUAUAUGAAAAUUUCCUUAAAACUUCGAUGUGUUCCUUCCUUUCCUGCCCAACUUUGGGUGAAAAGUUUUCAAAAACAUGGAGGAGAGUGAAAUCUUUCCAAAUUUUUUCUUUUCCUUCUCAUUUUUGCUUCCAAACAAUGGAAAAAAAGUUUAUUAUCCUUUCAAAAAUUUUCUUUUCUUUUCGUUUCCUCCCUCCCAAACUAGCAAUAAAAGAGUCCUAUUUUUUGGGUUUUUAUAAAAAAAAAUAUUAUAAUGAUGUUAGCAUGAUGUAAGCGGAAUGACGAACAUAGGAGCAAUGGUGGUUGAACAUGUCAAACAUGUACAGCAAGUUUCCUUGCUAUGUUUUUUUUUUUAAGGAAAGCUAUGGUUUUACUUUUACUUGUGCAAAUAAAUUUAAGUUACUUGUUCAUAAAAUUGUAGAUAUCAUUACUGAAGAGGUGAAAAGUGACAAAAAUUUUCUGGCGUAUAGACUUGCUUUUGAGCUAUAUAAUCAAAUUCUUGGUGCUGUUAGAGAAUUCAUUGGAUAGUUUCAUAAUUUCAACUCACCCACCCGUUUGGGCGGAAGCAACCCGUCAAGAGUCAGGCUAAUGCCAAAAUCUCCUCUAAUCACCGGUGUUUUUAAAACUGGACGGUUUACCUCACUGGUUCCAUUUUAGUCACAAAACACCAAUGAUACGUACAAGACAACAGCUUAUUAGAUGACGAAUUUAGUACAAAAGCUCCGACACCAAUACAAGUAUUCGUAAUUUUCUGAUUCACUGAAAUGCGAAAAAUUGAAGAAAUCAUAGAACCGGAUACAAUAAAUUGGGAUGGAUUUGGUGUGAGAAUCUAGAAGGGAUUGUUUUGAGUUCUAACUUCCAGAAAUCGGAGAACAAGAUAUAAUAAGUGUAAAUUACUUAUAACCCUCUGUAAUUUUACAUACUGCUGGAUGACCCCUAAGAUUUCAAAAUAGCCACAUAACCUUCCUAUGCUUUUAUGUAAAGUGAAAAAUAGGCGGAAUGCAUAAUUAGUUACAGCGUCUCUACCAAAUGCACUCAAAAAGUGUGUGUGAUAAAAUUUUAAUUUUCAUGUAACCUCCUUAUGAUUUGUAUAAAUAUUCACUUUUAUUCUUCUAUGAUUUUUACAUUUAUUCACGUAAUCUCUCUAUACUUUUAUACAAGGUAGUAAAGCCAUCGAUUAAUUUAACAUUUUAAUAAGAGCACUAUUGAUAUUUCAAUUGACAACGUUCUAUAAGCUAUUUUCCGUCAAAUUUUCACUUUAUUUUGAAAUGUUAAGAAGGUCAUGUGACAAUAUAUAAAAUCACAGGGUUGUUAUAUGUAAUUUACUCAUAUAAUAAUUUGGGCUGGAUUUGGUACGAGAAUCUCUAGAAGGGAUUUUUUCUGAGUUGCAAGUGGCAGAGAACUCGAGACAAUGCAAUCAGUUUGACUUGGAACCACCUCAUGAUUUCAUCACGGCCAUUGGUAGCAGAAAAUCGCCUCAUGUCUAGUCUUUUAAUAAAAAAAAUUGCUAUACAAUUCUUGGAUUAAUCCUGGCAGACGCAACAAAUUAACCAAAAAUUGGUCAUUAAUUUGACUAGUUGAGAUAGAAAGGUGAUGGACGGAAGCAAUGGCACUCAACUAACUAUCAAUUUUUUGUUUCUUUGGGUUAACUAGAUGUGGUAAAUACAAAAUACAACGAUAAAGAGAAGGAAUUUGGCUACAAUCAAUCAAAUUUAUUCCGCUUCAUUGCUUGCAAAUAUUAGUAUAAUGAUAAAUGAACACAUUCAUGAGAUGGGAUGAACCUUAAAAUAAAAAGGGAAAAAAAGGCUCCAGACAAAAGUUAGCCUUGAAUGUGUGCAUCAAGUGAUAAAUAUUAUUCUCCAUUAUUCCCAGUUUCACACCUGUUAUUUCAGCUUUUUGCUCUUCUAGAUAGAGUAGAUAGAUCAGAUAUGAUGAUGUGAUACAUGAUAUUAAUAAAGGAAACACUAGCGGUGGCCUGGCAUGUUACUACUUACUAGUUAAUACUCUCCUUGCAAUAUAUUAUAUCCCAUAAAUAAAGUGGUUAAUCUUUUUAUAUACUGAUAGUAUAUAUACUGUCAACGUUGAAUGAAUAAUAAUUAUGUAAAAUUUGAUUUUAAAAUUCAAUUUUUUACAUUUAUAUCAUAAAUUCAAUGGUGAUAAUAUAUGCACAGUCAGUAUAUAUGAGAUUUACUCUAAAUAAAUUUAGAGAGGUAUAUUGACUAGUAAUGAUGGGCUAAUCAAGGCAAAAUAUUUUGUUGGCCCACAAAUUAAUUUGUGUGUAUACUUUCAACAACUAUUAUUUGUAUAUUUUUAAUCCUUCAAUUUUUAAAAGCAUAUGUUUUCUUAUCCUUCCGUCUGUUUGGACCGUCAGAGGCCAACAAAAAAUCGCAUCUAGAAGAAAUAGAACAAAGUAGCACCUAGUCUUACUCCAAGAGUCCAACGCAAGAGAAACUUGAAAAAGACCGCAUCAAUCAGUUUUUGAAGCAAACCACUGGGCCAAUGGCUCAGUGGUCACCGGGGAGGGAUUUAAUCUUGGAUUGUAGGUGAGGGUUCAAAUCUUACCUGAAGCGAAAAAAAUCGAAGGAUUGUGCCCACUAGCCCCUACCAUAGCCUCCUUAGGCUCCCUCUCCCCCAUAGAUUAGGAUAGAGUAGGUUAUACAAAUGUAUCGUUGCUGACAAAAAAAAAAAAAAAAUCAGUUUUUGAAGCAAAACAGAGAAGCUAGAGUCCAAGUUCAAUGAAUCCCAAACAGUCGUAUUUGAAACAUGCAAACCUUAUAUUCUCAACUUGGCUAUGGUCCCCAAUCUUCUAAUUAAGUUCUCCUUCAUCGUACCUAUACUUCUUUGACGAAUGGAAUGGAUUACUUUUCUUUAUCUAAUCUAAUUUGUAUUUCAUUCAUUUAGAUAUUAAGUCAAAAGACAGUUCAUGAAAUUAAUUAUACAUGACAUGUAAUAAUAAAAUGAACUGAUUUAAUCAGCCUAAUGGCAACCUGAGCUCAAGUGUACCAGCGUUGCCUUCUCGAUUAUUUACCGUAAAUGAGAAAACAUAAGAACACAUCUCGAGUGAUUAAUAUAAGAUAGCAAUUUUUCUUCCUUUAGUAAAAUGUCGCAUUUAGUUGUCCUUAUACCAAAAGCAGCAAAGAUGAACUCACUAAAAAAAAAAAAAAAAAUCCUUCUUAUUAUAAGAAGAAACACCCCAGAGCUUGGAACUCAAACUUCUUUGUCUUACCACAAACUGUCCAUCUUGACAUAGACUCUACCUCUGGACAUAACUAAAUUCCAUUCAAAAAGUGAUUUCUUACAAAUACUUGAGAAAAAAAAAAAACAAAUUCCAUUGUAUUUGAUUAAACCUACCAAGAGAUGACCAAAGUUUUCUAAAAACAAACCAUAAAUAAAGCAUUUUCAAGGGCAAAAGAGUAAAAUCAUAAUAAGUACAACUAUUUUCAAGAACGGAAUGAUCUAUGUCAUAUUGACUCAAAGGGACAAAAGUGUGACCUCUGCUUUUUUUUAAAUAUUUAUUUAAUAACUAUUGUUUACAGAAAAUAUACUGCAGAAGUUAUUAAACAACAACAGCAAGUGAGUUUUUUGAGUAUUUGUCUAAAACUUUACUGUAAGUUACUGCAGAAGUUUUUAAAAAAAAAUUUUCGAAGUGUGUAAAUUUUUGAAUAUUUUAAAGUGUAUAGUUUAAAAACUUUGAAAAGUUUUUCUGAGGUUACUGUAGUUAAAGUUUUUAAAAAACUUGUAGCAGACAAACUUGGCAAAAAACUCGAAGUGCCAAACAGGGCUAUUGUUGACAAACACUGUUUCAAUAGGAAACUUUGGAACAGAAAUAUCAUAAACAAUUAUGCAUCAAUUUUCAAAUUUCAACUAGCUUAGUACAACUUGGCCUUAGAGUUUUUGACUCUCUCUGCUGUCUCACCGACCAUCUUUUGAUAAUUUUUGUUCCACACGUUUCUAUUUCUCGUGGUGAAAUCUUUUCAUUUUUGAUGCCCCAUCUCUUCCCACAUCUUCUUCGACCUGUUUAAAGAUGAGAAACGGAAAUUUUAAAAACAAUAAUAUUAGAUAUUAUAGAAAAAUAGAAAUUAAUAAAUUGAUCAUCAGCACUGUUAAAUCUAACAUGAGACGCAAUACGAACACCUUCAAUAUAAGAAAAGGAUUAUAUUAUCAUAUAUAAAUAACAUUUUUUUUUAUCAUCACACAGUAUUUGGUUUUUGGGCACAUGCUUAAAAAUCCAAACAUUAUCUAAAUUAGGAAGAACACAUUUAAAAAAAAAAAAAAAAAAAGAACAACACCUACAAUUGGAUCCACUUUUCUUGCUAAGGAGGCUAGACAUCAACCUGGUAACACUGUGUGAAAAAAGGUCAGACGACAAGAAUCUUUUCUUCUAACGUUAGGCACGAUUGACCCAAAAAACGUAAAAAGAAAGGGUAGAAAUAUAUGGUACAAGUUUAUAUUGCUGGUAAAAAUUAGACAAUAUCCAAGUUUGAUUGUAAGCAAGUUUAAAAUCUUACAAUCAAAACCAGCCACAAGAAGAAGGUUAUAUUUCUCUUAGUGUUGGAGGGAAACCUUCCAGUAUGAAAGUUAGCAAAACGUUAUCCAUCUUAGUGCUUCUGUCUAGGCCAACAGGAUCAUACUGUGGAACCCUACUGGAAAAGAUACCUAAAAUCCCUAAAAUAAAAAUUAGUGACAGCUACAAUUCCUACAGCAGUUGAAAGAAUAUGUAAUGCGUACAUGAACUUCUAGAAAUAUGUAUAUAUAUAUAUAUAUAUAUAUAUAUAUAUAUAUAUAUAUAUAUAUAUUGAUUUUGGGGGUUAAUUUUUGUGUGAUGAAUAUCGAAAAUCUUCAUGUUAAUAGUUUAUUAUUUCACUAUGGAAUAGCACCAAAAACUAUUACAGCAUAAUACAAGUCAAAAUCAAAAUACCACUCUUUCUCAGCAAUACCAAAUUGCCAAGGACUUGACUUGUUUGGUGUAUCAUUUUCCGACCAUUCCCCACCGCCCCCCCCCUCCCAAUCACGUAAUUGUUAAGAAAGGUGAGAUAAGAAGCUAGUAGCCAAAAUUACUUUGUUAUUAUUCUCACAAAUUUUGUUGUCUAACUUAAUUUUUCUUUUUUUUUAACAUAGUGCUACCAAAAAUCUUAGAGAAGAUUUGAAUGAUUGUCAAUUAAUUCUAAUUAGAGGGUGAUUAUCAAGUUACUUGAGUAUAUGUAAAAGACUAAUUCAUUACGUGUGUGUGGAUAGUUAUUUAAUUGUAUCAUAAACACAUUUUUUAAUCUUUUUUUUAUUUUUUCAACCACUUUUUCAUUUCACAUACAUCAUAUUGAAGAAAUUAUUGCAGUAUUUUUUUUUGAAAAAAAUUAUUUCCAAUAAUCUUCUAUCCCAACACGCAUUAAUUAUUUUCUUGUGAAGAAUUAAAUUUUGUGGCACAUUCCAUAAUGGCACUAUAGGUUGCAAAUCGGAAGAACACGAUUCACUUUUUUUCUUUUUUAGUUGUGCUGCCAAAGCCAAGAUUACCCUAUCUGAUUUUGUUUAUGACGUCGGAUGCCCGGGAGAACAAAGGUUCGUUAUUGACCCUAAGUAGAUAUUAUCUAUCCCAUUUCAGGGUAUAAUAAGCUGCCCAGUAAUGCUGCCCCAUUAGUCAAAAUCUCGAAGGCAUGAUAACUCGUUUAUCCUAUUUUACUCGUUGAUUAUAGGCAUGAUAACUCGUUGAUUAUAGAUAUCAUAUUAUAGUACAAAAAAAAUCCUAUUUUACUUGUUGAUUAUAACAUAGAAACCUUUGAUAUUUUCAUGGGGACUGUAAUCCUACCUACUUCAUUCUAGAAUGCGAGAUCAACCUAGCUCGUUUGGAAAGUUAUUUUUCUCUAAAAAAUUUUUACAUUUUUUACAAACAUAUUUUUCAAUCAUUUUUUUAUCUCAUAUAUAUCAAAUCGCUAUAGUACAUUUUUUUUUUAUAUAAAAACUCCAAAAAAUAGCAAUCCAAACUUUCUGGCUUCUCAUUGGUGAUAGCUAAGUGGAUAAGGAGGAACCUUGAAAUUUCAUAUGGCAUACAAGGAAGGAAAUAGGAUACAUAUAAUCAACGAGUUCUCGUGCCUUGAGUAGGUCUUUGGCUGCAAUAUCAGUCGAAUUCAUUCGGCUUCUUUGAUUGCAAAUAUAGAUGGAUUAGAUAGAUCAGAUACGAUGAUGUGAUAUGAUAUUAACGGAAACACUAGCGGUGGCCUGGCGUGUUACCACUCUCCUUGCAUUUUGUUACAUCCAUAAAUAAAAGUGGUAAACCUAUAUUGACCAGUAACGAAGGGCUAAUCAAAGCAAAAUAUCUUGUUGGCCUUCAAACUAUUAUGUUUACAUAUUUUAACAACUAUUAUUUGUGUAUUUGUAAUCCUCCAACUUUUAAAAGCAUAUAUAUAUAUAUUAUAGCUCAAACUCUAUACCUAGUACCACUACUCGAACUUGAAUUUAAACUCGAGUGAGUUGUUUGAUCAAAGCACGAAUUCCACUCGACGUAAUAUUAGAAAGGCUUGAACUCGACUCGACGUAUUAUUAGGAAGGCUCGAACUCGACUCAAUAGAGCUCGAAAAAUUGGUGAGCUUGAUAUCGAGCUUGAACGAUAAACAGUUAGGAUCGUAAAUAUUGCAAAUCAAGCUAAAAAAGUAAUUUUAUUAUUUAUAAUAUAAUAAUUAAAUAUUACAUCGAGUAAUGGAUAAAGCUCGACAACCUUUCAAGUAUAUGAUAUACAUGAUUGAACUUAACUCGAAACCUCAAUUAAAUAACUCAAACUCAACUCAACGUUAGCCAGUUACUUGCGAGUUCCGGUCAAGCUGCUCAAUUGAAUUGCACCCUGCCAAGUCGUAUCCGACACGCCAAACUUUUGGGAUAGAACUUUUUGAAGCUCAUGAUCAUUGUGGGUCCGCCACUUGUUCCCACUUCUAGUAUCCGAGCCACUACUGCAUUUUGAAAUCUCACACGGAAACAAAGGUAAAAGUGGAACCAUGUUGGGUUUCACACUAUUGAUAUAAAGGCACCAAUCCGAGAAUUCAGCGAAAUUUCAUAAUAUUACAGGAAUAACUAAUGAAAACGUGAAAAAUGACUAAAAUUUUCUAGUUUAUCAACCCCCUUUCCUUGAUUCCUAAAUGUUACCCCACCUCUAGUGGAAACCUUUAUAAUCAGAUUCUUGGUAUUGAAAAGAACUCAUUGGAUAAUUUUCAUAAUUUCAAGACGCCGGAAGCAACCCAUCAAGAGUCAGGUCAAAGCUAAAAUCUCCUCUAAUCACCACCACUAAAAAUAAUAAGAAGACAAAGGACUGAGUUGCAUUCGCCCACUGAACCAAUGAUCGAGUUGGUCUUAUGCUUCAAACAUUUUCUAAAAAAAUUCCUUUUCAUCCUCUAAAAUUAGAGAUAAUAAUGGGAGAGAUAAAAAGGAUGAUUAGAUUCUCCUUCUAGAACAAUCAGUCCAAUGUAGAAUUUGAACAGUAUUCAACUGAACUGUAGAAAAAUAUCAACCAAGCAUUAGUGGUUUGUUUUCUUUGUUUAGUGGCUACGCAUCGCUAUUUGGUUGGCUAGUACAUUUGGGUUGCAUGAUUGAAUUGCAUUCUUGGUCACGUGGAAUUAUUUCCCUUAAUGAUUAGUAAUUGUAAUAGAAGUCAGAAUAGUUAGUCGUAUAAGGGCUUUAUGUUAGUAGCCUCGGGCCGUGUGUUAUAUAUAAGUCAGUAGUCUCUGUUCAUGGUGGUGUUCUCGUAAGAAAGUUGCUGCAGCAUGGUUGAAUGGUAGAAGAAAAUUUCCCUUUGCCUCUAUAUCGAUAUUCCUUGUAAUUGUUAUACUCUGGGUUUAUGUUCAUUUAUCAAUUUGGACCCAUCAAAGCAAUUAUGAAAAGUCAGAAACUGGAAUAUCAAAAACCCAAACAAUUUACUAGAACUGAAAAUUAGAACAAUUUUGAGCUGUAAUUGACGAAGUAAUUAAAGAAUUAAAUACACAUGUACAUAUGUAUGUAAUCAAUUGAGCUUUACUUGGUUUACAGUCUUGGCGCUAUGCUUGGCAAGGCAUUCAAAGCUAAAACUAGGAUUUACAGCAACAAUAAAUGUGUUCCAGAUUCUGUAGCACUUGUCUAAAAUUUUGCCAAUUUCUUUUAAAACUAUGAUUGACGAGCCCGUUUGGUAAGUGAGUUUUUUGGGUGUUUAUCUAAAAUUUUACUGUAAUUUACUGUAGAAGUUUUUUUAAAAAAUUUUUUUUUUUGAAUUGUGCUUUUCUUUUGAAUAUUUUGAAGCGUAUAGUUUAAAAAUUUUUAAAAUUUUUUUGAAGUUAUUCUACCUAAAUUUUUUCAAAAAACUUGUAACAGACAAACUUAGCAAAAAAACUUGUCUGCCGAACAAAGCCAUUUUCGUUAAGCAGCCAAGUCACGGUACUUACUGAUUUUUUUGACCGGGAAUUCUUCUGAAGCUAUGACUUUUCAAUGCACGUUCACAAAACAAUUAAAAUAGCUCAGGAAGAAGAAAACAGUAGCCAGAAAAAAAAAAUUUUAGUUUGUACAUUUUUAGCAAUCUUUUAACUGUUGUUGACUGAUGACUUGCGGCAUAGAAUCUCCAUAAUGACUGCCGAGGUACUGACGACUUUGGGCAUUGAAUAUCCAUAAUAACUGCUCAGUUAGCAAUCUUAACUCUUAAUUGUAUACUUUAGUCUUUCAACUUCUAAAAGCAAAUACCUUUAACUUUUUUCGUCAAUUUCAACCAUUAGACCUAAUAAAACUUAUUUCAAAAUGACCAAGUAUUGAUCAUCUUCUUCCUAUUAUCAACUACCGAUCAACGUCAUUGACCAAGUAUUGACAGCUAUAUAGUACUACGACAAGAUUUACAUGAAUUUGCACCGCUAGACUUUGUUUUCGUGUGGAUUUCAAAUCAAUGUUCGAUUUUCUGUGAAUCUUGCUAGAUUUGAGUAGAUCUAAAAAGAAGAAAAAAGAUAAAAGAGAUAGUUUUACCACCGUUUUGCAAUCCUUUACAAAAUAUUUGGAAUCAUAUGCCAAAACAUUCCUUGGAAUAAGAAAGAACGUUAAAAGACACAAAGAAUUUGGUAUGAGAUCCAAUUUUUGUUGGCCUUAACCUCACAAGCAAACAGCAAACAGAGGCUAGGCAAUAUGAGCUUUUAAAAGUUAGAGGGCCAAAAAUACAAAAAUAAUAAUUAGUCAAAGCAUAUGAACAUGAUGAUAGUUUAAGGCCAACAAGGUAUCUUGCCCACUACUGGUUACUAGUCAAUACACGUUGCCUCUUUAAAAACUAAUAGUCUGGGCUGAGAAUUAUUUAAGCAACUAUAUAUUGUCUAAAGAAAUAAAUCACUUGGUUAAGUUAUUUAAGAGCUGCACUCAAAAGCAUUGAAUUAAUUCAUAAUACUAAAGAAUAUUAUGAACAAUAAGAAUGGUGCUAAAGGCUCAGAUCUCAUGAUUGGAACAAAGUCAGUAGUAGUAAUUCUGUUAGUCUUUUUUCCAAGUGAUAGGCCUAAACUAAACAAUAAUCUUACACUAAUUACAUUCAUUUUUCAAGACAAUGAGCAUGACUAAGGCUAAUCACCAUUACACUGGUACCAAAGAAAUUCAGAUGUACAAGCCCUGCGUAACCAGCCACGCAACUAAAAAUGUCCAAUUUCACUUAUCUUCACAUCAAGAUGCAUCACAAGGCAUGGUCCAAUCGUUUCUCCAGAAUUUGAAGUGCCACAUUGACCUCAUAUUCUAAAAUCAUCUGCAUAUUCCUAGUAGUAGUAGCAUCAAAACGUGGUACUGCAUUAGGUUUGGUUUUAAAGGCAAAGUUGAUCAAAUUUCUUGGAUAGAGGAGUUUCGCCAUCCCUUCUUGCUUUUGUAUGCGUUAGAUGACCAGUAGUUAUUCCUUCAUGGUGCCAUAAUUUCAACAAUUUAUUGAGUUAUUAUUUCUUUUUUAUUUCGACUGCAAACUUAGGUCUUCCUCCUAAAAUCUUAAUCAAAAAAAAAAAAAAAAAGGUAAUUCAUGGGGAGUAUCUCGUACAAAUUAAUCAGCUCAAAAUCAACAAAAAUUGAAUCUUUUAUGGACACUGAAUCUAAGGGUAACCCGUUUUUCUUUUUGUUGAAAAUGUGAAUUACAAUAUGAAUUCCUAGCACUUUUAAAAGACUCCAUAAAUGUACCAUUAGUUUAUUUAAGUAUGAUUUGGUAUGGUGAAAAUGUAACAGAGGCGAAGCAGAAUAGUUUAAUGAUGUACUACAGCUUGAGAUUGACUUGGACACCAAAAAAUAAUGAACAAAAUGUCAUGUUGACACAUGACAUGAUGAUAACGCAGCAGCCUGUACGUGGCUUACUAUUACCACUACUACUAGUAAAAUGAGGUCAGCCCUAUAACGUCAUCUGCUGCGUCAUCCCACUCAUCCAACGGCACGGAAAGUAUUCAAAUGUGCACUUUGAUCUAAUUCUUCCACUGGAUUAACGACCAAGUAGUAGUAGUAUUCUACCACAGCCCUAAUACUCUUCUAUACACUACUAAGUAAAUCAUGCCCACAAAGUCCCCUCCACCUUUAAUUGUUCUUUCCAAUCACUACUAAUUAUAGCACAGAAGAAGAAUUUUGAUCGUAAAGAACAAAUUAACCCUCCUUAAAAAGUAGAGUAGACAGACACUAUCCUAUGUAUCCUAUGGACAUGGACGAGGGGUUAGUGCAGUUGCACAUUAUGAAAUUCAGCCCCCAUUUGUACAUGCACUUCUGAAGUGUAAUUGUUGCAAAAAAAAAAAAAAAUCGUUAUAAAAAAACAGACUCACGGAUGCAUUACCAAUUCUUGUCUUCUUCAUUUAAUAAUUGUCUAUGCACAAAAUGGUUGCAUUAAUUUUACAUUUUUAGAAGUGAGGUAUCUUAAUUGAUAGAAAACAAAAUUUCAAGAUGGUGUCCUAGAAAUCAAUAGAAAAAAGAAUAUCUAUCAUGUGGUGCCUAAAGUGAGACCUCGGAAGGAACCCUUUUGAGGUUGUGUGAUUGAUUGAUUAAAUCUAUUCUUUGGUAAGAAUUCUAAUUUCAUUUAUCCCUAAUAUAUAUACACACACACUACAUUAUUACAAAACAGUACUUGAUAAUUUAUUGGAAACUUGAACAUUCACUUCUUUGGUUGCUACAAAUAAAUCGAGAAAUUAAUAUAUUGAGAUCGUUUCUGCACCAAUUCUUAGGACCCAUGGAUAAAAUGAGAUUAAUUUAAAACCCAAGAAAACAGAGAUAAUGACCUUAGGAAUAGAUGGGUUUAAUGUUAUAGAAGCAAUUCUAUUUGCCAGCAAAAGGAAAUAAUGCCCUGCAAGAAGCAAACUAUUCGAUGAAUGAUGCACAAUUUUAUCAGCUUAGCUUAAAAAAGAAACAAAUAUUUUUCUUCUAAAGCUCGAAUGUAUGUAGUAGAGUUAAUUAUGAAGAUCCUCUUGAUUAAGGCAGAAUCAAGAGUUGCUCAAGAAAAAUGAGUUUGAAGGAAGUGCUCAUGCUUAACUACAGCAUACGAGAUAACUCAAAAACACUUCAAACAUCUCUUCUACGUGCAUCAAAAGCACGACCAAUGUGAGCAGUGGUUAUUAGAAAAUAGAAAAGCGCCAUAAUAGUCGAAACAAAUGUUCUAAAUCCAUUUAUUUCUUUCAUUUUUUCAAUUUUAGCCGAAAGUAGGUUUUGAAUCUUUAACGCAACUUGUAUAUUCCAUAUAGAAUAUAGAAUCAGAAUUAAGAUCGAGGAGGAAUAUGGCUUGCAAAAGAUAUGGAGCAAAAGUCAGCUAGGAAUAUGGCUCAAGUGUCUUCAUCCAAUAUUUUCUUAUCAUCGAGGCGGAGGACCUAAUAUUAUACACAGCCUAUGUUUUAUUUAGCAUAAACGAAAAAACAUAAGAACACCGCUCCAGUGAUUAAUAUAAGAUAACAAUUUUUCUUCUUUUAGUAAACUUUUGCAUGAAGUUGUCCUUAUACCAAAACCAUCGAAGAUGAACUCACUGAAAAAAAAGAUAAACUUACCUCUAUCCAUCUUGACAUAAACUCUACCUCUCAACGUAACCAAAUCCCAUUAAAAAAAGUGAUUUCAUACAAAUACUUGAGAAAAACUAAAUUCCAUUAAUAAUGCAUUUGAUUAAACCUACCAAUAAAUGACCAAAAAACAAAGUUUUCUAAAAACAAACCAUAAUUAAAGCAUCUUCAAGGGCAAAACAGAAAAUUCAUAAUAAGUACAACCACACUAAGCACAAAACAAGCACAUGCAUCAAAUUACAACUAUUGAAAGCAAAGCGUGGGAUGGAACGGAUGAAACAACGAUAAGGAUAAGGCUUUUGCUGACCACAAAAUGCAACAGCCUGUCAAAGCAAAAACAGGUGAAAUCAAACAACGUACAACACUUUAAAACACAAAAGGAGAGACUGUGAACAAUUCCUUCCUAGGAUAUGUAAAAUUUUGUGCAUAAUAGUUAUUUAUUGUCUUUCCAAACAACAGAGAGAUAGAAAUCCUAUCAUCAAAACCUCUAUGCAGUGGAGGUAAUAGUGGAAAUGGAUCUAACGAGAAAAUUAAAAUAUCUAUUUUGCAAAAAAUUUGCUUGAAGAAUAAAUUUUUUAAUGUUAUCAUGUGCAAGGUCUUUGAACAGAAUCAUGAAGGAUGAUACUCUUUUUAGCAGUCCAAGUGAUGAAAAGAAGCAAAUACCAUAUGAACAAGGAUAUCGCAGCCAAGCAGCUUCACUUUCUACAACUGGUAAAUCUCCCAAGUAUAGCCAUCGCCCUCUUCUGUUAAAAGAAAAAAGAUCGUCGGCAGCAGCUUUUGUUCCUAUGAAAGUGGUGGUCGAUCGGAUCGGAUCUCUACCAAAGCUAUCGCAGCAGCUACCCUUGUUCUCCGUCUCUUCUUCCCCCCUCUCUCUCUCAAAUCCUGACUAAGGCCUUCUUAUUUUUUUUUACAGAAGAAUAAAGCUUCAUAACUUUUGAACAAAACUCAAAUUUACAAAAGAAACGAACCAGAAAUUAACAGAACAAGACGGAAAAAAGAAAAAGAGAUUUUGGGGGGAGUGUUGAGGGGCGGGAUUGGGAUUAAGUUGUUCAUGUUCAUAGACUUUGGGCUUGACAACGCAAAGAAACCCUACCGUGGAAAGUCGAAUUGCCACUCCCCUCGAUUUUCAGCCAGUUUAAUCUGUAGUCUGUACUUAAUGUGCAUGGGUGACGUGGCAAAUUUUCGACCUCUUUCUCUGUUCACAUUAUGCUUCUACAUGUUAUGUUAUGUUAUCUUUAGUUUAAUUCAGUGUGUGUGUAUUUUUUUGUUGUGUCACAGUCGUAAUUAAAUUUGUGUUGACUCCCCAAACCUUCACAGUUAUCUUCUGAGAUAAGUGUGGAAUAUUUGAAUAAAAAAAACAUUGUAACAAUGGGAUGGAAUGAGUGUGUAAUUUCUAGAAUUAAUUUUGUUCUAUGCAUCUCUAUUAUUAAUUCUUCAGAUUGUUAUUGCAAAAAAAUAAUAAUAAUAAUAAAAGAAAAAAGAAAAGUUAUCCACAACUUGUAGAAACUUUAGAGCAUAAAUAUCAUAAACAGUUAUGCAUCAUUUUUCAAUUUCAAGUAGCUUAGUACAAUUUCGCCUUUGAGUUUUUGACUUACUCUACUGUCUCACUGACCCUUUUUUGAUAAUUUUCAUACGUUCUAUUCCUCGUGAAAUCUUUUUCAUUUUUGAUGCCCCAUCUUCUUCACCUGUUUAAAGAUGAGAAACGGAAAUUUUAAAAACACAACUAUUAGACAUUAUAGAAACAAAUCCAAACAUGAUCCAACACCUACAAUUUGAUCCACUCUUCUUCACCAAGGAGGCUAAACAUCGACCUGGUAACACUGUGCAUAUUUUCAAAACUAAAACUUUUCUACCAAACCAGCCUUUCGCAGUCUCCCCAAAAAGUGUACAUUAAAACAAUAUAAGUACACAUAAACGAUACAACCAUAUUGGAAUGGACCAAAUGGUAUAUAUGGCCAGAAUAUUGUUCUACUAACUACUAAAUUCCUAUAUAGGAGACUCAGCAUUCUUACUAUGAUUUACUUUUUAAUCAGAUGAUCAAACAGGAAGCCGACGGGAUCUGUCUGUAAUGUCGUCUUCUGCGUUCCACAACAGUUGACCAGAAACAAGCCUUGUAAAUCCUGGUGAUGUUCUUUGCUGCCGCUGCUGCCGCUGCUGCCGCUGCUGACGGCGAAGUAGAGGAGUAACUGCUUGCCACCAGUUCCAGAUCGUUCGAAUUAGGAAUCCAGGCAAGUAACUGAGUGUGUAUAAAACGGCUUGGGUAAACAGCAGGAAGCUGAGCCACUCAGGGAAAAGGAUUGAUAAUAAACAGGCCACGGAUAGGGCACUAAAGAAUGCCAUGGUAAUACUGAAAAAGUAGUUGGCCGUAUGAUGAUUUUCAGAGACUCUUAGUCUCAGCUUGAUAUCAUGUGAUAAACAAUACAUGAGCAAACUUCCGAUGGCCAACAAGGUUGUUUUCGGAUGGGUUUCGAAAGGUGACUCGGGUUUUUUGUGAUACAUGAUCUGGAGAAAGGUGAGCAAAGUUGCGAUGAUGAAGCCAAAAAUAACCUGCUGGGAAGAGACCAAGUCAGGCAAUUCUGGAAAAUAAUAGCAUCUGAAAGACCAAAUGAUGCAAUUGUGGAAACUAAUAACCUGCUGGAGGAAGUUUGUGUUUGCAGCCAACGCCAUUUGCUAGCACUCAAGUCACUUAGAGAAAAGGAAACUUUGUAGCUAAACAAAGAUAGAAAGAAAGAAAGAAGAACGCCCUUUUGGUUUUGGCUCACUUAGGGUUAGGGUUGCCUUUUUAUUGUGAAGCAAAAAGAUUAAAAAAUGAAAAUGGCACGCUUGUGGACUUUGGUGGACAAUAAUAGAUGAACUUCUAGAUGGGUUCAGUUCAUUUAUUUGUGUGGAAUGCGGCUCCAAAUCCGGUCAAAAUGAUUCCACUUAAAUUUAAAAAUUUAUAUGAUACAAAAAUACUUUACAAUAAUAUGACCAUCAUCAUCUAUCUAAAUAAUUCCAUUUAUGUUUUCAACUCCACCUCCUGCGUAGGCAUUCAUCUGGAUCGGUGAUGAUUCAUCAGACUAUCCUUUGAACUCUUUAGGUCCCUCUUCCCCUAAUAAAGAGUAGAAGUAGGUGUAAAAUAGAAUCUCUCAUGCUACUAAGAAAAAAAAAGUAUAAUAGUUGCAAAUAAUUUCAGAUUCUUGCACAUUUGAGACACUGCAUCUUCAACAUUUCUGAUUUCCAAGAAAUUUUACCCCCCAAAAGUUAAUUAUGAUCACCUUUCCACUCAAUCGCUAACACCAUUUUUCAAAGUCGGAUUGAAAUGUUGCACUUGAUCCAUUGUAAGUUGGAGUGGACUGGCGAAAUGCAACAGCAUCCAACUCAAAAUAUAUUUGCACGUUGGAUAGAAACUAGAAGUAUAUCUUCCCUGAGCUGAAAUAGUAUCUGACGUUUGACUGCUAUUAAUAUGUCCCUUCUGUAUCUUAUUCCACAUUAAUUACUCAUGCUACCAUAUAUUUGAUGUCUGCAUCGGCCAGAACAUUAAAACAGCACCACUUCAACAGAGGGGAGUUACGUACAUAGAUCACUGGAAUACAUGAUAAGUAAGCAGUGCUCGACUUUGCAAGCUACCAUCCAUCCAUCCCAACUUGGCAUACUUGCGGGGAUCCCCUUAUGUUGGCCUUGUCGGUUUCCUGAUGUCAAAAAGCAGCAGCCUUUUAAGAAGCCCUCAUGUGCCCAAAAACCCACAACGGCCUAUCAAAAUCAGGGGAAGUAAAUAUAAUCCGAUAAUACUUGAUCCAGCAUCGUUGAAUAUUUUGCAGUAACACAGAAAUUCAACAUCGUUGAAUAUUUUACACAAUGUAGCAUUAUCUUUCUACCAAUCAUGCUCUAGACAUCAUCUCAUUAGAGUAUUGGAAAAUACAUCAAGCCUGGUAAGGCAAAAAUUAAGGAUUAAUUGCACUGUACGUUCUUAAAAAAAAAAAAUCUCGUCUAAAUCUAAUUUUGACAUCGAUCUCUAAUUCUUUAAUUCUGCUCGCCACUCGAAUCAUCUCUCUUCGUCACCUUCUUCCACCCCCCUCCAAAAAAAAAAAAGAAAAGAAAAAAACCAAUGCGUUCAUCUUUUAUUUAUUUAUUUUUUUUAGGUUCAUCUCAUCCCAUGAAUAUGUCUAUUCAUCAUUAUCCUAUAUUUGCAAGCAAAGAAGCCGAAAAUUUUGACUGGCUGUAGCCCAAGACCUUCUCUUUCUCAUUGUAAGCCAAAGACCUUCUCAAGGCACCAGAACUCGUUGAUUACAUGCAUCCUAUUUUCCUCCUCAUAUGCCAUUUGAAAUCCCAAGGCUCAUCUAAUCUUUUAUAUUUAUAUUUAUUUUUAUUUUAUUUUAUUUUUUAAGGUUCAUAUCAUCUCAUGAAUGUGUUAUUUAUCAUUAUACUCUAUUCACAAUCCAAGAAGCGGAAUAAAUGCCACAAAGCAUACUAAUUGUUAUGCAGACUAGGCUUCAUCCUCAAAAUUAAAGUGCUUUUUUUUUUUUUAUAGAAUUGUAAACAAAUUAAUCAAGUUUAAGGUAUCAUAUUUGCACAAGAAGCAUCCAUAGGACCUUAGGGUCGGCUCCCCAACGUGAAUUGUGGGAGCCCGCGUUGACACCUUGUGUUGCCAUCUCACUGACUCUCAGUCCUUUUUAUUCUUAGCUACCAAGAAUACUAAAAGAGUCCUAUUUUUUUGGGUUUUUAUAAAAAUAUAUAUAUAUAUAUAUAUAUAUUAUAAUGAUGUUAGCAUGAUGUCAGCGGAAUAACGAAAUGGGAGCAUGUUAAACAUGUACGGCAAGUUUCCAUGCUUUUUUUUUUAUUUUUUAUUUUUUGGGGAAAUCUAUGGUUUUACUUUUACCUGUACGUGCAAAUAAAUUUAAGUUACUUGUUCAUAAAAUUACAAACAUCAUUAAUGAAAAGGUGAAAAAUGACGAAAACUUUCGAGUGUAUAGACUUGCUUUUGAGCUAUAUAAUCAAAUUCUUGGUGCUGUUAAAUAACUCAUUGGAUAUUUGCAUAAUUUCAAAUCACCCAUCCAUUUGCCCCUCAUGAAUAGUCCGACUGAUUCCGUAGUUUAGUAGUUACUAGUAGAUCCGGUGAUCGAUUCCUAUGCGAUUCAAAACUAAAAUUACUAAUUAGGAAGUACAUGAUUGAUCAUCUUAUCAAUCACCUGAUCAAAAGUUUAAGCUUGGAAUACUAAUUAUCAGAUCCUGAAGUCUAAUCUAGUAAAGCGCACUAAAUAAGCAUCAAAUUAACUCCUAAAUGAGGACAUGCAAAAGGGCAUUGUGAAGAAUAUCGCAAAACUCCUAAACUAAGAAGAGCAUGUAGUAUAAUGUCAUUUUUUGUCCUGUUCUUAGAGCGUACUGUUCUUUCUACCAAUCAUGCUUUUUUAACCCGUUUUUUUUGACCGAUCAUCCCGUCUAGCUCUAAUUUGACAUCUCUAAUUCUAGAAUUCUGCUAGCCACCUGAAUCAUAUCGCUCCGUCACCUUCUUUCACGCCCCUCCCUUCCAGAAAAAACCAAAAAAAAAAAAAAAACAAUGCAUUCAUCUUUUUUUUUUUUUUUUUUUAGGUUUUUCUCAUCCCAUGAAUGUGGUCAUUUAUCAUUAUCCUAUGUUUUCAUGCAAAGAAGCCGAAUAAAUUUGACUGGCUGUAGCCCAAGACCUUCUCUUUCUCAUUGUAAGCCAAAGACGUUCUCAAGGCACAAGAACUCGUUGAUUACAUGUAUCCUAUUUUCCUCAUAUACCAACUGAAAUCCCAAAAUUCAUCUAAUCUUUUGUAUUUAAAUUUAAAUUUUUUAUUUUUUUUUUAAGGUUCAUCUCAUCUCAUGAACGUGUUCAUUUAUCAUUAUACUAUAUUCACAUUUCUGUAAAUCAGGAAAUUAUCAAAGGUCCCUUCUAGAUUCUCAACUUUUUCUACCCAUCCUUUUCUUUGACCGAACACAUUUUGAAUUUUCUUGUUCCUUAUUUGAGUCCAAUGGUAACCACUAAUUUUUUUUUAUUUUUGCUUAAAAAAUCAUAAGCAAUUAAAGCAGGCAAAAAUUCAUGGAUAUUUGAUCAAAAUGGACUGUAUAUGGACUGGGUUGCAAAUUUUAAUGUGUUUGUUGCACAAAAAGAAAAAUCUCUAAUCAAAUAUAGCCACAAGAAAUUAUGUAUGUAGUAUAAAGUCUUAUAUUGAAAAAGAAAAAGAAACGUAAAUACGUUAUUGGUGAAAUACUUUUUGUUUUGUAUUAGUGGCUUGAUACAAAUAGUUUGUGCAUUGAACCUCCUCGAUAAUCUCCCUUUAUUGUUUUCCAUUAGGCAAAUUUUUUAUUUAUUGUUGAAAUCUUUUGUAUCGACAAUGAACCAACCCCUUUCCAUAGUCGUUAAAAGCUUUAAUAACUAUCAUACCAAAUAACCUUAUUAGGAAUAAUAUACUCACUUACACAUACAAUAGUGCAUUUUUGCCCAUGUGUAGUUAGGAAACUCUAGCUUAUUUUUGUACUUUUGAGUUCUAUGGUCUAAGUUUCAACUGUAAGCAUUAUGUCUGAAUUAUUACACCCCUAUUAAGAAAGACAAACAAAAAACACAAGAAAUUACAACCCAAAAUCUCAAAAAUUGAAAAUUGUGCAUUAUGGGCAUUAUGGGCAUAAGAAAAAUAAAAUAACUAUGCAAAAUCUGCCAAUUGUAGCAAUUCUUGCUCUUUAAUCUUGUUAAGAAAAUUGUGCUGGACGAUUUCCAAUAGUUUUAUUAAUAAAAUUUUCUUAUUCAUACAAAAAAAAAAUCAAAGGGUAGUUUCACAAAAAAAAAAAAAGAAAAGACAAGCAUACUGAAUGAUUAAGUCGUACAUGGUGGCAUAUUUCAUUUACUUUCAAGUAACGAUGUAUAUUUUAAAAUUGAUCACAUUUUGAAUAAUUGUGCAUUUUGCUUUCACGUGAAACUCAUACAUUAGCCGACCAUAAGUAAAUUAAGACGAGUGAUCUUGUUAAGAUGAAUCUGAUAAAUAUUAGCAGCAUCUUUAAUAGUAAGAAGUAUUUUACUUUAACUCUAUCUUUUGCUUGCUUCAAUGACUUUGAUCCGAUUAAUUCUAUUUGCUAGUAAAAAAUGCCUCAAAGUGUACUAAUUGUUAUGCAGACUAAGCUUCAUCCUCAAAAUUAAAGUGCUUUUUCUUUUAAUAGAAUUGUAAACAAAUUAAUCAAGUUUAAGGUAUCAUAUUUGCACAAAGAAGCAUCCAUAGGACCUUAGGGUCAGCUCCCCAACGUGAAUUAUGGGAGCCCACGUUGACAUCUUGUGUUGCCAUCUCACUGACUCUCAGUCCUUUUUAUUCUUAGCUACUAAGAAUACUAAAAGAGUCCUAUUUUUUUGGGUUUUUAUAAAAAAUAUAUAUAUUAUAAUGAUGUUAGCAUCAUGUAAGCGGAAUGACGAACAUGGGAGUAUGUCAAACAUGUACGGCAAGUUUCCUUUUUUUUUUUUUGAGGAAAGCUAUGGUUUUACUUUUACCUGUGCAAAUAAAUUUAAGUUACUUGUUCAUAAAAUUACAGAUAUCAUUAAUGAAAAGGUUUAAAAUGAUGAAAAUCUUCGGGUGUAUAGAAUUGCUUUUGAGUAAUAUAAUCAAAUUCUUGGUGCUGUUAAAUAACUCAUUGGAUAUUUUCAUAAUUUCAAAUCACCCAUCCAUUUGCCCACCACCGGUAGUCUAACUGGUUCCGGAGGUUGGUAGUUACCAGUAGGUUUCGUGAUUGACUCCCGUAUGUUAUUUCGUUGUGUAUUUUUAGGGCAAGACUUUACACAAUUUUAGAAGAUUAGUCUGAUCGAAAGGUGGAAAUACCCUUUAAUGAAAAAAAAAAGAAAAAAACCACCCACCCAUUUGGGUGGAAGCAACCCAUCAAGAGUUGGGCCAAAACUAAAAUCUCCUCUAAUCACUAGUGUUUUUAAAAGUGGACCGCUCAUUAAACCAGCGGAGUUGCCUGUUCUUGGUCAAUUUUCCCGGUGUUCGACCAGCCAGGUCACCAAUUCUCUGCUACUUUAUUUCAGAAUAAUAAUAUCUAUUUUUUAUUUAAAAAUAAUAAUAUUAGGAAAGUACAUAUAAAGAUACUACAAAAAAAAAUCUUAAAAUUGUAUGAAGUUGUGGACAAAGUCAGGAAAUUGUAUAAAGGAGAAGAGAGAACACAAUUCAUAUAAAAGUUUAGAAAACAUUUCACCCGCAAAAAUUGUGUACAGGAAUUAAUAUAUAUAUAUAUAUAUUCACACAUACACACACAAACGAAAUUUAAUUAUUCCUAAAUUUAAAAACAAAACAAAGAGUACAGAAAAAAAAAGAGAAGAAGUACAACUAUGAAAAAAAGAAAAAUUUAUUUUCUCGAAUAGAAAUGAACUUAUUAAAACAUCAUAAUCAAUCAUUUCAUAAAAACAUUACUAAUCACCAGCAAAAAGGAAUAAAAAAGACAAGGACUGAGUUGUUUUCGCCCACUGAAUCAAACGAGUUGGUCUUAAGCUUCGAACAUUUUCUAAAACGAUUCCUUUUCUUCUUCAAAACUCGGAUAUAAUUAUGGGAAAGAUUACUUAGGUUCUCCUAUUAGAAUAAUAACCGAAAUGUAGAAUUUAAUCUAAAUGCUCAAAGAGCUGAAUGUAACAGUGAAACUCAUAGUCCGGUUUCACCGUGCCUAGUAAGUCCCAUAGUCCGGUUUCACCGUGAAAUUGGGCAUAGUGGAGGGUAACAUUUUGUCAUUUGAGGCACACAUUCAAUUGAAGUUAGGCACCGAUUGGCUAACUUUUCUCUAGAAGCUUUAUUGUCACUUCCGUUCUAGAAUUCUCUAAAGAUCAUACGCAACCACUCUACUUCAUCUCUCAGUCACUCUCACAGAUCAAACAACAAAGGGGUUUUAAAUUUCCUCAUUAGCUUUUAUACAUCCUCUUGGGGUUAAUUUUCUUGUCUUUUGCAGACAAGGCAGUUGGAUAUAGUGAUCAUGUUUCAAAGAAUUGUCUCCUUUUGAAAAAAUGGAUGGUGGGGUUCCAAUAUUUUUAGGGACCAGGGGGUUGUCAGAAUUUUUUUGUUUCUGCCUUGUCAAUCGGGUUCAUUUGGUCUGCUCAAUCCAAAUUACAUGUGAAAUUGGCCGUUAAACAAAAUAGGGUAAAAUGUUUCAGUAGUUCUUAAACUAUCACAAAGUUCGAUUUUGAUUGUUCAAUUAUUAACUGAAAAGUUUUAAUCCUCCAUCUAAUUAAAAUAUAUACUCGUAUUCUUUUUUUUUUAUCGAAACGAUAACUGUUGUAUAACCUGUUCUAUCCUACACUAAAGGGUAGAGGGAGUCUAAAGAGAUUUGUAUUGCGGACUAAUAGAUACACAAAUUUUACUAGAUCAAAAGGAUAAUCUGACAUCACUCUUAAAUUUUUUUUCGUUACAGAUAAUAUUUGAACCUCACCUAUAAUCCAAAAAAGAAUUUAAAUCUCACUUGGUGGCCACUGAGCUCUAGAGCCAAGCUCAGUGGUUAUAUAUACUUGUAUUCGUUCCGCCAACUUUAGUCGUUGUCAGCAAAUAUAGCAUCAGCCACAAGGUACGGGAAUAAGAGUCUGUUUGGUUGGAAGUAAAAUGUUUUCCUUGGGAAAAUAUUUUCCGUGGAAGUAAUUUUCCAUGAAAAUCAUUUCCCUUUCAUCAUUUUCAGGUGUUUGGUUAGUUUAUUGAAAAUAUUUUCUUACUUCAUUUUUCUGAUGUUUGUUUAACUUUUGAAAUAUUUUCACUUUUAUCUCUAUCUUUACUUUCUACACAUUAUAACUACAUACUUCUUCACAUGCAAAAUAAGAAAAUUUAUCUCAUUGUUUAACUUUAAAAAAAUCUUGGAGAAGUGUAUAUAUGAAUAAAAAAUAUCUCCUUAAGCAAUAAACAAAUUGCUGGUCAUUUAGUGUCAAAUAUCAAUCACAUGCAAUGCUUAUUGUGACAUAUAUUUUGCCCUCUCACUGCUGAAAGUUUCUCUAGAAAAGAAUGUUCCUAUUAUACAUAAUUAAUUACUAGCAUAGGAUGAGUAGGAUGAUAUUUUUUUUUAUUUUGAAUAUACUAGGGGGAGGGUUGGGUUGGGUUGGGUGGUAUGGGGGAGGGAGUGUAAGGAAGAGGUCUUGGGUUCGAGUCCUCCUGUUUACACUAAAAAAAAAAAAACAUACUAUAAGAUGUUUUCAGUAAGUUUGGAACAUACUACAGGCGGGAUGCAUGCAUUUAGGAAAACAACUUCAGUAAGUUUGGAAGGGAAGUUGUUUUCCAUAAGAUGAGUGAAAAUAUUUUACAUAGGAAAAUGUUUUCAGUAACUUUUGUGCAACCAAACACGGGAAAUUAGGAAAAUAUUUUCCUGGAAAACAUUUUCACCCGAAACAAACGGACCCUAAAUGAGGGGCUUUUUCUUCUGCACAGGAUAUGCAGAUCGGCUGGCGUGUGGAUCCUGUUGUUGCUGCUCUACUUCUUCCUCGGGAACUUGUCGGAAAAUGGGCCCCAUGACCUCUGACCUUACAGAAAUUGCCUUUCUCUCUCCUGUACACUAAAAUACAAUUCAUACACUAAAAUUCUUACAAAAUUACAGCAAAACAGCAGAAGAGAAAAAACAAAACACAAUAAUUACUAUUUCAGAUUCUUUUGCACUUGUUAAAGACCUAAAAUUUUGCCAAUUUCUGUUAAAACUAUGAUUGACGAGAACGAUAUUUUCAUUAAGCAGCUAAGUCACAGUAAUUGCUUACCGAUUUUUUAAAACCGGGAAUCCUUUUGAAGCUAUGGCUUUUCGAUGCACAAUAGAUUAAGAAGAAGAAAUAGUAGCCAGCAAAAAAGUUGGUCGGUCCUUGAAAUAUUAAGUUUGAACAUUUUUAGCAAUCUUAACUAUUAAUUGCAUCCAACUUCUAAAACCACGCACUUUUAAUUUUUCCAUAAGUUUUAACGGUUAGACCUAGCGGUCAAUGCCAUUGACUAUAAUGAUUGACAACCAUACAAGAACGAUAAGGUUGAGAUGAAAUGAAAUUAUACAUCUAGACUUUAUGUUUUUGUGUAGAUUCCAAAUUUAUGCUUGAUUUUCUAUGAAUCUUGCUAGAUGUGAGUAGAUUUAAAAAAAAGGAAGAAGAUAGUUUUACCACCAUUUUACAAUCCUUUAUAAUAUCUUUGGAAUCAUAUAUCAAAUAUUCAUUGGAAUAAGAAAGUUCAAAGCAGCAAGGAAUUUGGUACGAAAUUAUCUAAAUUUUCACAACAUAACUUUUCACUCUUGUGAUUAUUUCCAUGUCACUUCAAGGCCCAUUUUGUGUUAAAUUCUCUAAUAUUUUAUUCCACUGAAUUCCUUAUUUUGAUUUAUUUGGUCAUAUUUGCAUUGAAUUAAAAAAGCCUUUUUCUGAGGACUAUCUCUUUUCCUAUUUUAACUUAUCAUACCUUCGGUUUUUAGAUAUGGGAUUGAGUGUGAUGCAAUUUUUGUUGGCCUUAACAGCCCAAACAAACAGAGGCUGAGAAAUAUGUGCUUUUAGAAGUUAGAGGACCAAAAAAUAAAAAUAAUAACUCAUAAAAGUAUAUAAACAUAAUAGUUUGUGGACCAAGAAGAUAUUUUGUAGGUAAUGAGUCCAUCAUUACUAGCAAUAUAGGUUACCUCUUUAUUUACAAGGAUAGUAGUAGCAGUAGUAGUAACAGGCCAAGCUACCGCUAAUGUCUCCUCUAUUAUUAAUAUUGAAUGUGUAAAAGCGUCAAUGGACUUGGCUACAGAAAAAUCAUGCUAAUGUCUCCUCUACUACUAAUAUUGAAUAUGUAAAAGCGUCAAUGGACUUAGGUGCACAAAAAUCAUUGUACCUACUACAUUGGUUUUUAGGCCGUAUGAACAGAAAAUAUAAAUGGGUAGUUUGGUUCGUUUAUUCACCAUUUCAGUGCACUAAUAAACGGAUUGGAUAAAAUAUUGCCAACAUGUCUUCAUCGGAAGCCUUCAUUUUGGAAUAAUUUUAGAAACCUCCUCUGAGGCUUUUGACUAUUGCAAGAAGCUCUCCUCUAGUUUAAAAACUUACACCUAUCUCCCUUAUAAUUAGCAUUUCAGUAACAAUAUAGACCCAAUAAACUAAAUUUGUUUUCAAAAAUCCUAAAAUACCCCUUUGUUACCUAGAAGGGGGAAAACUCACUAAUAAAUUUCUUCCACGUUACAACUAUUGUAAGCGAUAUAAUCACUACCUUAAUGAAUUCAAUAAACCACUUCAGUUCAAUCCCCAUAUUCUCACAAAUUUCACAGCCUACCAUUGCUGUCCAAAUUCAAUCCAAAUGGCUGUAACCUUGCUGAUGCUAAAAUUAUCUAACCCACUAAGAAUACUUAUACGGAGCAACCAAAAGCAACACUAAAGACCACAUCCCAUGUCUCUAGGUAAAUCAGAUUGCAGCUUUUAUCCCAAAAUUCUUUUUUACACAAUUGGUAUAAUAAUGUAACCUUUCUCAAUCCAUGCUCCCUUUUUAGCUAUUACUUUUAUUUUCUUGUAUGUACUCUAUAUCACAGCCAUCUUUUGCACCUUUAUUUAGUUUGACAAUAAAUCCGAUCCAGUAACUUGUCAUUUGGCAAUUUCAAUUCAAUAAUACUUAUAAAAAAAAGGAAAACAAGAAAAGAGAGAGAAUCUAUUUCCAUAAUAAUGAGGAUUCGAGAUGUAUUAGAUAGUUGUGUAGAUGGCAGUUGCGAAAAAAUAGUAAAUUAUGAGAUGCGGGAGAAAAAAGGUAGGAGAAAGAGUCGGAGAGAGAUAAUAAGGGUUUAUUUUAUGUGGCAGCCGUUCCACAUGAUGUACAUAAGCAGCAUUAAACUUUUGCGGGUGAUUACUGACAUCAUAUGAGACUGAGUCUUUAAAACAUAUAUAACUUAGGCACGGCGAGAAUUAAGUUUGCUCUUUGCAUCAUUGGGAGUAAACUAUUCAGCAGAUUGUUACUGCAAAAAUAAAAAUAUCGAAGAAGAAAAGUUUCCCACCAAGAAAGAAAAAAAAAUGAAGAAGAAGAAAAAGAAGUUGUCCACAACUUUUAGUUUUUAGACAAUUCUAUGUUAUGUCACCAAAGAAAGACCAAUUUCUUGUUUCGUUCAGUCUUAUAAACUUACAACUUGCUUAUUAGGAAGUAAUGGAUGUCUAGUUGAACAGAAUGAUACAAAUACGUAUGACUUGCAAAACAUCCAAUAAUGCAUGAAAUGCAUAAACCCAUUGACAUCAUAGAAUAUGGGAUUCUCAGCCAUCAAGUAUUGGCUCAGUAGAUUUUAUUGCAACGAAUUGAAUAGUGAAAUAGUAAAUGAGACACUGCCAAAUACGUGCAUAACACAGUUGCAAACUAGUAUGGAGAAUGGGCUUUAAGGUACCCACCAUAAACCUUUCCUUGACUAAACAAGUAUCACGAAGUUUAACUAUUUACCAUAAGCCGAAAAUUCAUCAUAGAGUUUAGAAAAUAAGCCCCACAAGAAUGAGUUUGUGUCAUCUCAGUGAAGUAUGACUUUGAUUUUAAAUCAAACGAGAGAUAUAUGGUAAAAUAUAAAAUCAUAUAAGAUCAAAGUGCCAUACAUAUUAUAUUUAUAUAUUUUGAUCAUUUCAAUCAUUUUAGUUUUUAAAUUGUGAUAAUUUUGAUAUUUUCAUAAGUUUCGUUACGAAUGAUCAUUUCCGUCACUUUAGUACUUCAAUCCAACUAUGAGAAUAUUAUGUAUAAUUUUUAAAACUACAAGAAAGUUAUAUAAAAAUCAACUAUACCAUAAGGGUUGGGUAAUGUGUAAUUUACCCAUAAAGCAAAGAAGAUUAUUCUUCGCUUAUCUUAUUGCACAAUGAGGCAACCAUGGAGCCAGAGUUUCCGAAUUGUUGCAUGACGUCGAUCUGAAUUGUAGAAUCAUUGGCUCAUCGGGCAACAACGGAGAUACAAUGAAUGUUCUGUCAGACCAUAAUAGAAAUAUUUUUUAAAGUGAAAGAAAUGAUUAAAGAUUAGCUGAAGUGCUCAAGACAAGGACGUCACCACGCUGAUUCAGCAAAAAUGCGUCAGCAAUUCCUUUAUCAUGGGAGAAUGUGCGAAAAAUGCAAUCUCUCUCUCUCUCUCUCUUUUAGGUAAAAAACAAAAAAGUCUCAUGAUAAAGUUAAUAUAUAAAAAAGUUUCCUGUAGUUUCAAAACGUAGAAUACGAGAACUCAUGUUUUGAACUAAAUUGUAAAAGUGACGGAAUUCAUUAAAAUUAACGGAAAUGAACAAAAUGAUAAAAAUGCCUUGAUAUAAUUAAACAAAAGACAACUCAACAAUCAUGUAUAGGAUUUUUUUCUCAUUAUAAAAAACGGAUUUCUCUCUGUAGACGUAGGCUCAAUGAUGAAGUCGAACCACAUGAAAUAUUUUGUAUCAUUUAUCUUUCAUACUUGUGACUUGUUUGUCAUUAAAUUAUUGUGCCUUUGGUACGUCAAUAGUCAUGUGUUCUGCGCAUGGAUCCUAACAAAUUUUAUAAUGUGCUUAAAGAUGUAAUGAUCCAUAGAUUUUAAAAUUUCUGUAAUACGAGCAAUCAUGAUGUUUGUCUGCUUAUAUGGAAUUUUGAAGGGGAAAUAUGAAAGCAAAAAGAUGAAAUUAUUUAAAUGGAUUGAUUUGGGGUGGGAAAUGAGGGGGGGGGGAGAAACUAAUUAUUUAAAUGGAUUGUGUUUUUAUGUUUUUAUAAGAUCCUAUCUAAUAAACUUUACCAGUGAGUUACAGAUUACCAUCUAUUGUUAUGGCUGUUGCCUGCUAAUUUGCGUGUUCUUUGCUACUUAUGUAUAAAAUUGUUAUUAUAACCUAAUUUAGAUCACCCCCUCGGACUUUAAGACAAGCAUUCAAUGUACAUCACAAAAAGUAAAAGUAAAAGUGAAACUCUAGUCCGAUUUCACCGUGAAAUUUUGCCAUUUGAGGCACCGAUUGGCUAACUUUUCUCUAGAAGCUUUAUUGUCACUAUUCCGUUCUAGAAUUCUCUAAAGAUCAUACGCAACCACUCUACUUCAGUAACUCUCACAGAUCAAACAACAAAGGGGUUUUAAAUUUCCUCAUUAGCUUUUAUACAUCCUCUUGGGGUUAAUUUUCUUGUCUUUUGCAGACAAGGCAGUUGGAUAUAGUGAUCAUGUUCCAAAGAAUUGUCUCCUUUUGAAAAAAAUGGAUGGCGGCGUUCCAAUGUUUCAUGUGAACAGUCAGCAUAAGUUGUUGAUUGUUAUAUUUGAGGUUCCCGGAUCCAAAAUUUUUUUUUUGUUUCUGCCUUGUCAAUCGGGUUCAUUUGGUCUGUUCAAUCCAAAUUACAUGUGAAAUUGGCCGUUAAACAAAAUAGGGUAAAAUGUUUCGGUAGCUCUUAACUUAUCACAAAGUUCGAUUUUGACCGUUUAAUUAUUAACCGAACAGUUUUAAUCCUCCAACUAAUUAAAAUAUAUACUCGCAUUCCUUCCGCCAACUUUAGUCCUUGUCAACAAAAAUAGCAUCACGCACAAGGUAUCGGAAUAAUUGAGGGGCUUUUUCUUCUGCACAAGAUAUGCCGAACGACUGGCGUGCAGAUCCUGUUGUUGCUGCUCUACUUCUUCAACCUAUAUAGUAAAAGAGCGAAUGGAAUUGCUAAGAGUUGUGGUUGUUGUGCUGACGUGGCUGGAUUUUAUUCGCUGGCUGGUGGUCGUCACUCACGUGGGAGUCGCGUGCUUUUGCUGGGAGGAGAAGUGCAAUCCUUCUUCUUGUUGCCUGAGAGAAGAAAACUUGGACCUUUGGUUUUUGAGAAGGAACGUAUCUCUGUAUUGCCAGCUGAGUAAGCUUAUUAUGACGGUUGCUGAUAGUUUGAUUGAUGACAACUGUUGGGUGAUGGGCUCAAUGUGGGUUGGUAUGAUUUGACGAUAUUGCCCUUCUUUUAAAAAAGACAGAUGCACCGUUCUAUCUUGCUGAGCUCCUUCCUCUCUGCAAUUUGGUGUGAAGGAGCUUCAGCUCUGCUCUAGAGAGCUGCCGAAAAAACACUUUUUGCUCUCUCCUUUGAUUGACAAGACUGAAAGCCCUUUGUUUCUCCGAUGUAUGCAGAGGUUUCUAUGUUUCAGGUUCCGCUUCUCCCAGCUUUCGUCAUCAUGAUCCGCGGUAAUUGUGCCUCAUUUUCAUUGUUCUUUUCUGGCCCUCCAGCUGCUUGCUUCCUCAUUCUGAGCUGCUGCCUCGUUUCUUUUUUUCUGCUUUUUCUUUCCUUUGUAACAAUUGCUAUCUUGCUGCCUCCUUGCGUAAGCUUUAAUUCCGCUACUAUUGUUUGGAUUUAACUUCUCCUGAUUGUGUUCCCGUUUCCUGUCGUGCUUAUUUUGGUUUUUCCUCACCUGCAAUUUAUGCCAUCCUGAGCUGUUACUGUUGCGUUGCCUCUUUGCUUUGCUUUGGCGCUCGUUUUGCUUCUCAAGCUCCCUGCUUAAAUUUACCUUUCUGCCGCAGCCUUUCCCCCUGUGUUUUCCAUUUAUCCUCCUGCCAGUGGUUCUUGCAUCAGCCUUUUUUUUUUUUAAACUUUUUGUUCUGCUACUGUUACUACGUGCAGGUUAUCUUGCCCCCCUUCUGUUUUGUGAUUUCCCCCUUUUCCCCUAGCAUUUCUUAUAUUUUUCCCCACUAUACUCUCUGGUGCUUGUUGUCCUGUAUUUACUCUUUGAGUUUUCCAUUUUUCCUCCUGUCGUCAUUUCUUGCGUCGCUGUAUUUUUUUCCCCUUUUGUUUUGCUGCUGUUGCUACGUACAAGUUAUCUUGCCCCCCUUCUAUUUAGUGAUUUUCCCCUUUUCCCCUUGAAUUUCUUAUAUUUUUACCCACUUUGUUCUCUGAUGCUUGUUGUGCUGCAUUUACUUUUUGAUAUUAUAUUUUCUUACCCUUUUUGCUCUCACUGGCUUAUUCAGGUGUUGUCCUUUUCUGUGUUGCUCUGCUGUUGGGUAAUAAAGGCUUGUUAUCUAACGUUAAGGUGCCAUUACUUAUUCUCCCUUCUGUAUGUGCUUUUACCUUGCUCGUACCCAAUAAUCAUUUUGCUACAUGCUUUUGUUACCUCGCUUUUAGCUGUUGCCGCCUUUACUCAGCCUUUUAACUCCUGUUUUCUUAUCUGUUCUGUUCUAUGCUGUUGUGUAAGCUCUGUGCUUUAUCUUUUCUUCACUCUGUUUCUUUUUUAAUAUAUUGGCUGAAUUCUAUGGUGUUGUGUAAGGGCUGUACUUUAGCUUUUCUUUACUCUGUUUUGUUUUGAAUGUCUGCUCAGUUCCAUGCUGCUGUGUAAAGGCUGCGCUUGAGCUUUUCUUUCUCUAUUUUUGUUUGGGGAAACCGACGUUUGGUGCAUGCCUCUCUUAUGCCGUUUCUUUGUGUUUCAAUCUUGUUAGAACUUUGGCCUCCUUUAUGCUUAUUUAGUUAGUACUCUGGCCGUGUAUUAGUGGUGUACGUUAGCCUUUCUUUUCACCUGCUAGAGUCUAUAGCGGUCAGAUGGAUAGGAAUGCUUUGCGCCGCAAAAAAUAUGCAGAAAUGCCACCUCUGAAGAAAGCGGAACUUCUGCGUUCCCGAAGGCAAACUCGAGCUUCAAAGAAAGCUGGAAAAGCUUUACCCCCGCGUGUUCGCAGGGUCCCGUUAGGAUAUGUCGAAACUGGUGUGUCGUUCCCAGCUACUCAACAUAUGCCAUGUCAUAGUGAGGAUCCUGCGUUUGUGCAUUCUCAGCCGUUGGGAAACACAAAUGCUGUGUUUCCAGCUGAUGAUGCCUUUGCGAUUAGGGAAGGAUUAGAAUUCAUGUCGCGUUGUCCACCUGGUUCCUUUACUGGUUAUGCUUCCUCCUCCUUUGGAAAAGAAAUGCCUCUACAAAAUACACUUGCUCCUGAAGGUAUACCAGCUUUGUUUAACGUGCAAUCCCUUCAGCCAUUUAACUCCCACUCUGUAGCGCCAUUUAGCAUUAUUUGUCUUUCUUAGCUAUCGUUAUUUCCCUUGUAUCUCUCCAGUUACCACUCUCUUUCUUCUUAACUGUAGCACCCCUGUUCUGUGAUAGCCUUGCACCAGUGAAAUAUUAGAGAUCAUCUGUUGGUGUAGAGGCAAAAAAAAUCCCCGUUCAUGCCUUUGAUGCCCAGCUCAGUGAUGAGCCAGUUAGAGGAAAACAUAGGGGCGUAAACUCCCUUCCAAGUGGAAAUGAACAACCUGUGAGCAAUACACAUUCUGAAUUUAUACUAGGUUCAUUUCCUUUCGAUUCAUCUCUUAAGAACCCUGAACUAUCAAUUCAAAAAGAAUUUGCUUCUGCAAGUAAUUCUUUGCCUACUCAAAUUUCAGAUUCUACUUUAGAACUAGCUUCCAAAGGUACUGCCUUACUUUACCAUAUUCGUUAGCUUGCGAAUCUACUUAACCGCUUUGACCAGCCUAUAAAUACUAAAUAAUCACCUUUAUGGCCUGGUUUUCUGGAACCCUUCUUCCUUUGCUAACUGAUUCUCCUUUAAGGUCCUUAGGCCUGUUUUAGCUAGCUUAUUCUGUUCUGCAAUUUGCAGACAUCUUUCCUGCUCCCACAGAGGAGGUGGCCAGGUCUGGUCCAACACCUGGUUGGUUGGAGAUAAAAAACAGAAAAGUACUUCCUUCUGCCGGUCCAUCUGUUGUCCGUUCUCGCUCCAGAAAAUGCAGGACCCCUGAAUCUGUGAACAAACACAACUCAGGUUGGGAUUUGCUUCUGGUUUGCCUUUGCUAUUUCUUGCCUUAUAUUCAACUUUGUCUAGAUGACCAAUCAGAGCUAAUAAAGUUGUUCGUGCACGAAAUGAAACUGCAGCACAAAAACGAACAGCUGCGCGUUCAAGCAUAUCUCGCCUUGCCAAUAUUCCUCAAGCAGCUCUGGUUCUGCCUCAUGCUCCUGAUUGUGAGCAUUGUGACGCAAAAAGGUUCCAUUUGGAACCUCCUUCCUUUUGCUGCUCGGGAGGAGAGAUCUCUAUCGUUGCUCCUCCAAUGCCAUAUGAUUUGAAACGUUUAUUCAUUGCCAAUGAUGAAGAGAGUGCCCACUUCAGGAACAUUGUCCGCACUUAUAACAACAACCUUGGCUUUACAUCUUUUGCCGCAAACUAUGACUCUGAACUAACAAAGAACACGAAAGGCGUCUAUACUUUUCGCGUUCAAGGCCAAGUUUACCACUUUCUUGAUGGCCUUAUUCACUUAGGCGAAAGGCCAUCUGGGAUCCAAUUAUAUUUUUUUGACACUGAUGAGGAAUUAGCAAAGAGACUUGGUAACUCUGAUAAACUACGCGAAAGCACUUUAAAAUUGCUUAUGUACAUUCUUUCUAACAAUCCUUAUGCCCGGUUCUUUAAAGGCCUUAGAGAUGUUCCAAACCUUGAUGAUUUGAACAUUGUCCUUAGCUGUUAUCCUUCACUUGACCAGCGAAUAUAUAAUCUUCCCUCUGCCUCACAAGUUGCGGCUAUAUGGACUGAAAGUGACGAUCAGUCGUCCGAUAGCCGCGCUCAUAUUCAAGUUUAUUCUCGGUCAGUUGGUAGCCAUAGGAUUCAACAUUACUAUGGCUGCUAUGACCCUUUACAGUACCCUCUCCUUUUCCCUCGUGGUGAGUGUGGCUGGCACCACGGAAUUAAAAGACUUAGUAAAAGAAAAAGAGGAGGGGACGCAUGUGAAGAUGAUAUUAACAUCGAUCCAGCUUCAGUUAACUCCUCAUCGGAGUUAAUUGAUUUAGAACAGAGAGGCAAGUACAUUUCUCUCUUGUUAUAAACUGUUGAACCUAUCCAUUGUAUUACAUCACCUAAUCAUGUAGAUCGUAUUCCCCUUCUUUAUAGCUAUUGAUCGAGGCAAAACAGAGGAAGGUACUGUAUCUGCUAGGGAGUACUACUGUUAUAGGUUCCAAAUAAGGGACGAUGAUGAGUCAAUGCUGUUACACACUCUUAGGUUGCUGCAGCAGUUUUCAGUCGAUGCUUAUGUCAAGAUCGAAACAUGUAGGCUUGACUUUCAUAGGCAUCGACAAAACAAGAUACGCUCUGAAAUUCUGCAAGGAAUUCUUGACAGUGUUUCUGUUGGCCAAACCGCUGCUUCUAAAGUUGGUCGUAAGGUCAUUCUUCCAGCUUCUUUUAUAGGUGGUCCGAGGGAUAUGAGGCACCGUUACCUUGAUGCGAUGGCCCUGGUACAGAAAUAUGGAAAACCCGACAUUUUUCUUACAAUGACGUGUAAUCCAGCAUGGAAGGAAAUUCAGGAAAAUCUGAAAUACCAUGAAAAGCCUCAGGAUCGGCCAGACCUGCUCGCUAGAGUUUUUAGAGCCAAAUUUGAAAUGCUUAAAGCAGAAAUUCUAAAUAAGCAGAUCUUUGGCGAGGUUGCAGCGUGUGUUUACGUGAUCGAAUUCCAGAAACGAGGCUUUCCUCAUGCCCAUUUAUUAUUGAUCUUAAAACCUGGUCAUAAGCUACUUAAUCCAGAGUCGUAUGACAAAAUAGUCUGUGCUGAGUUGCCCGACAAAGAUCAAUAUCCUCACUUGUAUUCUCUUGUUGUGAAGCAUAUGAUCCAUGGCCCUUGCGGAGCAAUGGAUAAGUCUUGUCCUUGUAUGAGAGAUGGAGCCUGCAAAAAUCACUAUCCAAAGAGCUUUUGUGCUCAAACGACUCACGGUGAGGAUACCUAUCCAUAUUAUAGGAGGAGAGAUGAUGGCAAGAAAGUCAAAGUUCGUAGAUUUACUCUUGAUAAUAGGUGGGUUGUGCCUUACAACCCUUACCUGCUUGCUUUAUUCGAUUGCCACAUCAACGUGGAAAUUUGUUGAUAAGAGUUUAUUUUACGUAUUUUUUGUGUGUUUUAUUAGUUAAUUUUGGUUUGAUUAUUUAGUUUAAUAACUAAAAUAACUAAGGUUUUGGUAAAAAAACUACAUUUUAUGUUAAAAUGGCUAAACAUUGCAUUUUAUGGAUUUUUAUGGUAAAAACUUCAUAUUUUGUAGGUUUAAUGAUUCAAUCAUCAAAUGAAGUGCAUUGAGAAGAUAUUUGGAUGAUUGAAGAUGGAUUAAAGUGGGGAAAAUAAAAUAUGAAGUGUAAAAAGGAAAAUGCAAUUUGAAUCAAGAAAAGUCAGGUUUUGACAACUCUGACACGUUUUGGUAUUUUGACUAUAUCUGGAGCUACACAGAUCGGAUCAAGGUGAUCUUGGUACCAUUUUGAAGCUAAGAGAUAUAUCUACAUUUGGUAUGAAAACAUCAAAAUCCAGUUCAGCCUUUAUGAUAGAGAAAAUCGCAGCUGAAGUAAGGACAAAGUGAAUACGCGAGUACACAAAACGUGACUUGUAACCGCGUUUUGUGUAGGUGCGUUUUCCGGCCGCAAUUCUGCAAUUUUGCUCAGUCAAUUCUCUUGUGUUCUGACUACUUUCCAGCUACAAUUUGCAAGAGAAUUCGGUGCACAUGCUUUAGAAGACAAAAGGGCAAGAAAGUUGGCAUAUUUUCAAGUCAAAAACAAUGGCUAUUGACUAUCUUAACAAUUUCAGAUUUGGAAAUCAAAUGCAGCAAGUUUGGACCAAUGGAAAAGGAGCUUUUGGAGCAGUUUAUAUAGGGAGCAACCAGGACAUGCAGAGCAUACGGGAGAAGCUUGGAAGUGCAGAAAUGUAGUUUUUCCAUUCUCUUAGUAUUAGAUUAGUGUAGUAUAGUUUAGCUAGUUAGUUCAUCCACUCUUGUACAUUAUCUAGAUUAGGAUGAAAAUGGAGAUGAAGAAGGCAAGGUGAUGAGCUCAAGUGACAUGGGUUACAUUCCUUUCCAACUCUUUAUCUUUUGUAUUUGAUUCCAAGUUUAGCUAAUAUACAAGUUCUGGAUUUUAUAUUUAAUAUGUGUUUUUAAAGUUUAUACCUUGGGUUUGGUUGAACUUCCUAUAAUUGUUAGUAUUUAUUAUUUGGUUAUUUGUUUGCUAGUAUUUGAGCAAGUUAUUUAGCACUUUGGCUCUUGAAAUCAUGAUUAAUCUGGUACCAUUAAUUCUGAUUAUCUAAGGUGUUAUUUUUGCAAUGAAAAUUGAGACUUAACACUAGUUCAAGAAGUGCUAAACAUAGGGAGUACACUCACGAAAGUAGAGGUGCACCUAUGUGGUUUUUAGUGAUUCAUUUCAUGUAAUUUUACUGAAGAAAUGAACUUGUAGCUAAUUUCAUAACCAUGAGAAUAGGUAUGGAUUAGUUAUAAGUAUAAUUGAUUCACUACGAAAGUAGGAUUCAAAUGUAUUAGGAAAUUACACCAUAAUUAGCCUAGAUGUAGUAUUCAAUGAUCCAAAUAUAACACUUGCAUGAGUAGUUAGGGAUACCACAACCUAAGGAGCUUUUAUUUGUUAAUUUCUUGUAUAAGUGCAGUAGGUUAAAUUUCUUAUUAUUCAUUGAUAGUCUAAAUAAUAGAGAAGCUUUAGUAAUACCGGUAAUUGUUCACUCUUCCUUGUGGGAUCGACCCGAUAUAUACCCUAAACUACUAGUUGAUCUGUAUACUUGCAGUGAACGGGUGUAAUUCGGUAUUUUUUAGCUUGCAUGUAUGUAAAAUACCCGUCAAGUUUUUGGCGCCGUUGCCGGGGAAGAUUUGGCAAUAUCGGUGUGAAGAGCAACUUUAUUAAUUUAGACAAUUUUUCUUAUUUUUGUUGUUUUUGUUGUAUCUUGUGUGUUUUAUGUCAUUUUUUUGAGUCAAUUUUUAUUAUUAUUAUUAUUUUUUUUCUGUUUUAGUUUGUGUCUUGGAAUCUAUCCUUCUUAACUGAUCUUACUUUUGAGAUUGUUUAAAAGUAAUUUUAGAUAAUGAGGAGGGUAGGUGAAUUGGGAGGACAAAGCUUGAGAAAUGAAAGAUUGGCAAUGGAUGGUUACCAAGUGCAAAACUCCUUCAACAGAGGUAACCAAGAAAUUACUGAAGGUAUGUCUUUUGAAGAUGGUUUGAAGUGCUUAAAGGCAAAAUUUGAUGUUAUGAUGGACACAAUUAUGCAUGAAAUUGAGCAAGGGAGGAAUGUUAAUGAUUUUAAUUCUUAUCAUGUGAUUUGUGACUUGUGUGGAGAUUAUCAUGCUACUAAUACAUGUAUGCAAGCACAAAAUGUGGAUUAUUAUGAUGAAUUAGAGCAUUACAAUCCUUGUUUUGAUCGAUAUAGUGCUAAUGCUUAUGGUUGGGAUAAUCAUGGUACUUAUAGUGAUUCUUCAUAUUUUUAUAAUUACCAACCUGAAUGUGUCCAAUAUGAAUCAAAACCAUCUUGGGAGUUAGCUAUAGAAAAAUUAGCUAAUGUGACUUCCGACCGUUUUGAUAGGAUUGAAAAAAGAAUAGAUGAAUUAACUUCUCACUUUGGCAGAAUAAAUGAGCAAUUGAGUGUAUUGUGUGAAGUUAUUUCUUCUAAUAAUUUGCAAAAUGAUCCUAGCAUGAAUGGUGGAAAUGUUGUAUGUGAAAAUGGAUUGCAUUUGGAUGAAAAUGAUGAAUCUCAAUUAUAUUUCAAUGAGCAAAUAUCCAUUUCACAUGAUAAUACCUUUGAAACUAACUUUGAGCCUCAAGAGGUGAGUUUUAAUGACUCAUUUUUCACCCCUCUUGAGGAGUGCAGUGAAAGUAUAUGUUUUAAAGGUAUUGCUGUCCAAGAUACUCUUAUGACAUUUUCUUUGGUGAAUUCUCAAGUGGUGCAUAUUCAAGGUAAUAUUUAUGAAACACUUGGGAUAGGUAAGUCAAUUCCAUUUCUCACAUCAUUAGAUCAUGUGACUUUUGCGAUAAAGCCACCUUUUAAUGAUCCACCACGGCCUAAAAUGGUGGAUUAUUCGUUAACUAAACCUCCUUGAAAAAUAAGGUGAACUAGUCAAGCUAUUGACUAUAAAGAAACGCUUAUUGGGAGGCAACCCAAUGUUUGUUUAAGUUUAUGUUAUUUUGGGGUGAUUUUAUGUUUAAAGUAUAUGUUUGAGUUAUUUUGUUAUUUUUCAUUUGUAGGUAUUGGAAAUGGAAGCAAAAGUGACCAAAUGAGGUGAAAAAGGCGAAAUUUGAUCAAGGAACUCAACCCCUCAAUUUGAGUAAUUGUUGUUUUUGAUUUGUUAGAAGGGGUUAAAAUGCAUAUUUUGAUCAUUUUACAUGUGCAUGCAUUGAUAAUUUUAGCAAACAAAUGAUCUAUGAUGCAUUUUGAGUGAUUGGGGUACAAAUGGUAAUUUUUCAAAGUUGGCUUUCUGCAAAAAUUUCGCAGAAGAAAACGCAUUUGGGCUGAAAACGCGCCUUAGAAUCGCGUUUUCCAUAAUCGCGUUUUCGAUUCUGCGCCUAUACUGAAGAAAACGCGCCUUCAAAACGCGACAGGAAGUCGCGUUUUCUACCAAGUCGCGUUUUCCAGCCUGAUCAAAAAUUGAAAACGCGACUUCAAAUACGCGACUUAAAGUCGCGUUUUAUAACACAGUCGCGUUUUCGAUCCUGCAAGAUAUGUGAAGAAACGCGACUUCAUAAAACGCGGCUUGGUGGCGCGUUUUGAUGAGUCGCGUUUUCGGAGAAAAAAAAAUGCAGAUUCCUUGAUUCUCUUUUUUCUUCUUUUCCUGUACCUUGAGUUGCUUAUUGUAUAUUGUAUAUAGGUACAUCACCAAAACAAAGGUUUGAAAUUACGGAUCGCCGUUUUGUUUUAUUAAGCCUUUGUUAUCACUUUUGUUUCUUAUUUUUCAUUUUUAGGAUUACAUCACUAAUGGUUAUCCAAUGAAACUCAUGAAGCGUUGGAGAUACACGGACAAUGGAUUUUGAAGCUUCAUAUUCAAUCACAUCAUAGGGGAGUAUUACUUUCUUUAUCUUGAUUUUCCUUUUUACACAUUGAGGACAAUGUGUAUGUUAAGUGUGGGGGGAGAAUUGAGAUUAUAUAUAUUGUAUGUGAUUGAAUUAUUAGUUGCAAAUAUUGGACUUGUGUUAAAAUUCAAAUUUUUUCUAAAAUCUUGUCCAAAAUUGCAAACUUGCCCCAAAAAGUUUCAUAUUUUUUCAAUUUUAUCCAAGGGGUAACAAGUUUCAUACUAUUAGUAGUUCAAAUUCCUUCUACAUUUGAGAUAAAUAUAUGUGAUUUGGAAACUUCUUUUCUCAUUUAACUUGGAAAUGACUAUUAUGUGAUUAUAAUUUUUGCAUUUGUAGGAAAGUAUAUCUUUUAAAGUGGAGAAAAUUAUGCCUAUAUUUUUUUGCAUAUUUGAUGAAAUUUCUUCUCUUUCUUGGAUUUUAUAAGUUAAGUGAUAAAUAUGGUCAAGAGGUGCAAUACUCUUCUCAUGAUUAUUCUUUUGAGGAAUUUAUGUUAAAAAAAAAAAAAGAAAAAAAAAGAAAAAAAAAGAGAAAAAAGAAAAUAAAUAAAAAUUCUUCUACUCCAAUGAUUCUUGUACUUAGUAACCGGGAGUCUUCAUCUACAAAUGUCGACUUUCGCGUAAAACGGUACUUGAAUUAAGAGUAUGCAAAGCAACUUGAGUAUGUGAAGUGUUGAGUAACCGGUGAUCUUCAUCUAAAAAUGUCGAUUCUCGCGUCAAAAGACACUGUCACAACUUAAGUAAUAUUUAGCUACGUUAUAUGAAUAAAUAUCUGUUUAAGUAGAAUAAGAAAUGAUCAUGAGUUUAGGAAGCAUAUUAUUGACCAUAUGAGUUACUUGCGUAUGAAAUUAAGUAAGAAUGAGAAAUUGAAUUAAACUUGUUAUAAUGACGGUAUAAUUGGCUCUCCUUUACUUGAUAUUAUGAGUACUUGAACUUAAUUGAAUAAUUGCAUAAUGGUUAUUUACUUUGUUUUGAGGAAAUGAAGUUGAAAUGCUACAUAUGUUUAUUUUCAAAUCAUUGUUGGUUUGUAUUUCUUAUUGCUUGAGGACAAGCAAUGGUUCAAGUGUGGGGGUAUUUGAUAAGAGUUUAUUUUACGUAUUUUUUGUGUGUUUUAUUAGUUAAUUUUGGUUUGAUUAUUUAGUUUAAUAACUAAAAUAACUAAGGUUUUGGUAAAAAAACUACAUUUUAUGUUAAAAUGGCUAAACAUUGCAUUUUAUGGAUUUUUAUGGUAAAAACUUCAUAUUUUGUAGGUUUAAUGACUCAAUCAUCAAAUGAAGUGCAUUGAGAAGAUAUUUGGAUGAUUGAAGAUGGAUUAAAGUGGUGAAAAUAAAAUAUGAAGUGUAAAAAGGAAAAAUGCAAUUUGAAUCAAGAAAAGUCAGGUUUUGACAACUCUGACACGUUUUGGUAUUUUGACUAUAUCUGGAGCUACACAGAUCGGAUCAAGGUGAUCUUGGUACCAUUUUGAAGCUAAGAGAUAUAUCUACAUUUGGUAUGAGACAUCAAAAUCCAGUUCAGCCUUUAUGAUAGAGAAAAUCGCAGCUGAAGUAAGGACAAAGUGAAUACGCGAGUACACAAAACGUGACUUGUAACCGCGUUUUGUGUAGGCGCGUUUUCCGGCCGCAAUUCUGCAAUUUUGCUCAGUCAAUUCUCUUGUGUUCUGACUACUUUCCAGCUACAAUCUGCAAGAGAAUUCGGUACACAUGCUUUAGAAGACAAAAGGGCAAGAAAGUUGGCAUAUUUUCAAGUCAAAAACAAUGGCUAUUGACUAUCUUAACAAUUUCAGAUUUGGAAAUCAAAUGCAGCAAAUUUGGACCAAUGGAAAAGGAGCUUUUGGAGCAGUUUAUAUAGGGAGCAACCAGGACAUGCAGAGCAUACGGGAGAAGCUUGGAAGUGCAGAAAUGUAGUUUUUCCAUUCUCUUAGUAUUAGAUUAGUGUAGUAUAGUUUAGCUAGUUAGUUCAUCCACUCUUGUACAUUAUCUAGAUUAGGAUGAAAAUGGAGAUGAAGAAGGCAAGGUGAUGAGCUCAAGUGACAUGGGUUACAUUCCUUUCCAACUCUUUAUCUUUUGUAUUUGAUUCCAAGUUUAGCUAAUAUACAAGUUCUGGAUUUUAUAUUUAAUAUGUGUUUUUAAAGUUUAUACCUUGGGUUUGGUUGAACUUCCUAUAAUUGUUAGUAUUUAUUAUUUGGUUAUUUGUUUGCUAGUAUUUGAGCAAGUUAUUUAGCACUUUGGCUCUUGAAAUCAUGAUUAAUCUGGUACCAUUAAUUCUGAUUAUCUAAGGUGUUAUUUUUGCAAUGAAAAUUGAGACUUAACACUAGUUCAAGAAGUGCUAAACAUAGGGAGUACACUCACGAAAGUAGAGGUGCACCUAUGUGGUUUUUAGUGAUUCAUUUCAUGUAAUUUCACUGAAGAAAUGAACUUGUAGCUAAUUUCAUAACCAUGAGAAUAGGUAUGGAUUAGUUAUAAGUAUAAUUGAUUCACUACGAAAGUAGGAUUCAAAUGCAUAAGGAAAUUACACCAUAAUUAGCCUAGAUGUAGUAUUCAAUGAUCCAAAUAUAACACUUGCAUGAGUAGUUAGGGAUACCACAACCUAAGGAGCUUUUAUUUGUUAAUUUCUUGUAUAAGUGCAGUAGGCUAGAUUUCUUAUCAUUCAUUGAUAGUCUAAAUAAUAGAGAAGCUUUAGUAAUACCGGUAAUUGUUCACUCUUCCUUGUGGGAUCGACCCGAUAUAUACCCUAAACUACUAGUUGAUCUGUAUACUUGCAGUGAACGGGUGUAAUUCGGUAUUUUUUAGCUUGCAUGUAUGUAAAAUACCCGUCAUUUGUUCUACUCUUAAGCUCGUGAAGUACCUGUAUAAGUAUGUUUUCAAAGGACAUGAUCAGGUGAGCUUUAAGAUUAUUUCCUGUGGAUCGGCAGACGAUAUUGAUGAAAUAAAAAACUUCCAGAAAGGUAGAUGGGUUUCGCCUCCAGAAGCUUUUUGGCGCAUUUAUGAAUUUAGGCUGAAUGAAAUGAACCCAGCAAUUUACACCCUUCAGGUCCACCUCCCAGACCAGCAAUUCGUUUCCUUUGACAAAGGGUCUGAUUUGCUACAGUUGCUGGGUAAAAUUGACUUUUCUAAGACAAUGUUAACUCAAUUUUUCCACAUGAACAAAACGAAUCUCAGAGCACAACAUCUGAAAUGCUUGUACAGAGAUUUUCCUGAAUAUUUUGUUUGGUCUGCUAAAUAUAAAGAAUGGACUGAAAGAAAGCGUCAAAAGGUGAUCGGUCGGAUGGUGACUGUUAGCCCAAAAGAAAGAGAGAGGUAUUAUUUGAGGUUGCUUCUAACGCACAUUGCUGGACCGACCUCUUUUGAAGACCUUUUGACUGUAAAUGAACAAAGGUUAGCUUCGUUUAGAGAAGCUGCUUUGGCUCUUGGUCUUUUGCAGUCCGAUGCAUAUAUAGAGGAGACACUUCAAGAAGCAGUGGCAUUUCAGAUGCCGUCCUCAUUGAGGCUACUAUUUGCCACUCUCCUUGUGUAUUGUUCUCCGACAAGUCCUAAAUCACUUUGGGAAAAAUUUGAGCUUGAGUUUUCUGCUGACUAUCAUCACCAGCAGCCAUUCCACGGGUUUUCUUCUCCUGAAAUUAGACGAAAGGUUUUAGAAGAUAUUAACAGCUCGCUUGAACAGAUGGGCAAGAGCAUUACAGAUUUUCACUUUGUCUCUGAUGAUUUUUCAUGCGGUUACGCUGAACGGUUAACAAAGGAAAUUGAGAGUGAAAGGAGCUUAACAGUAGCACCUGAGGAUCAGUUGUUGCCUCAGAUGCUAAAUUCUGAACAAAAGCAUGCCUACCAUCUAAUCCUCGCAGCAUGUUUUUUCUUAGAAGGUCAGGCAUUUUUCGUUGAUGGCCCUGGUGGCACCGGUAAAACAUUCCUAUAUCGGUCGCUUCUCGCGACCUUGCGAUCACAAAACCAUGUUGCUAUUGCAGUAGCAACAUCUGGAAUUGCGGCAUCAAUCCUUCCUGGCGGAAGGACGGCUCACUCGAGAUUCAAGAUACCACUUGAUUUCUCGAAGACUAAAAGUUGUCAGCUCAGUAAACAAAGUUCGGCUGCAAAACUCAUUUCUGAAUCAAAGCUUAUUUUGUGGGAUGAGGCUUCAAUGGCUAAACGACACACAAUUGAAGCUUUUGACGAAUUACUGAGAGAUUUAAUAGACUCAGAUUUACCUUUCGGAGGGAAGGUGAUAGUUUUUGGAGGGGAUUUUCGGCAGACCCUACCUGUCAUUGAACAAGCAACUAAAGAAGUUCUCAUAGAGUCAACCUUCCCCAUUUCUCCUCUGUGGCCUAAACUACAUAAAAUCAGGCUUACAGAAAAUAUGCGAGUUAUGUUUGAUCCAGGAUUUUCACAAUUCCUUUUAAGAGUAGGAGAAGGCCGAGAGCCUAUUGAUGAUGAGGGUGAAAUAACUUUAUCAUCAGAUAUAGUUAUUCCUUACUACGAUAAAGAGGAGUCUUUAAACAGGUUAGCUAACUGCAUAUAAUCAGAUUUAGUUCCUUUUUAGUAGUCAUUCCUCCUACUUCCACCAUCAAUACACUUUCUUUUGCACAGGUUAAUAGAAAGCGUCUUCCCAGAUUUGAACCUCUAUUCUCAAGAUCCUUAUAACCUGAUUAAUAGGUGCAUCCUUGCUCCAAAAAAUAGCUCAGUUGAUGAGCUCAAUGAAAUAAUGAUUAAGAGAUUUCCUGGAAGCCUUCAAACCUAUAUUAGCUCGGAUAAGACUGUUGAUCAGCGGCACCAAGGUGAUUAUGAGGAUUUUCUCAAUUCUCAAGAUCCUAAAGGUCUCCCUCCUCAUAGAUUGCUGUUAAAGGAAAACUGCCCAUUGAUGCUUCUCAGAAAUUUAAAUCCAGCUGAGGGUCUAUGCAAUGGCACAAGGUUAAUAUGUAGAGAACUCGGCCAACACACAAUUUCUGCUGAAAUUGUUUUUGGCCAUCAUCGAGGGAAAAGAGUUUUUAUUCCAAGGAUACCUCUUCAAACGCCUGACAAUGACAAAAAUGGGAUUCCAUUCAUAAGAACACAGUUUCCUGUCCGCCUUUGUUUUGCUUUGACUAUCAAUAAAUCACAAGGUCAAACUCUUGACUACGUCGGCAUCUAUCUCCGAGAACCAGUUUUUUCGCAUGGCCAGUUGUAUGUUGCUCUGUCCAGAGCUAAGACCGCUGCUAAAGUUAAAAUUCUUCUUGUUCCUGGAACAUUUGAUGGAAUAAAAGUGGAUUGCAAAACUCGAAAUGUUGUCCUUGAUGAAAUUUUUAGACUAACUCAAGCCUAAACCAUUUUCUGCUUGGAUUCUACUAAAGUAAGAUGGUUAUACAGAUUUUAAAUUACUAGAUUACUGUGUUUUUUGGAUCUCUUUGUUCCUGUUUAUUUAUCCAUCAGCUUGUGUUUUUAUAGGAUGGCUAACCAACUGCCAAUGCGGGAUAUUAUGCCUCAUAUGAAAAAUUGGAGUUGUAUCGUCACUGUUCAAGAAAAGCAACAAAUCACAAAUUCAAUGGGGACACCAACAAGAAAGCAGAAAUUUGUUUUCUAUGAUUCAGAGGUUUAGCAAAGCUACUGCUCAGUUUUAGAUGUAAUCUCUUAAGUGCGCUAUUGUUUUGCUUUCUUUGUAAUGUAUUAAUUUUACCUCUUUAAGUAGGGAUCAAGAGUCGAAGGAAUCAUCUUCAAUGAUGAUAUUCCUAGAAUGAGCCAGAUCCUGCAGAUUUAUAAAAAAUAUAAAAUCUCCAAUGCUGAGGUCAGGCCUAUACCGCCGAAGUUCCAGACCUCUGAGCUUACCAUUCAGUGGGUUAUCAGCACCAGGACUGUUAUUGAAGAGAUUGCUAUUGAUGAUGAAGUCAUGCCUGUGAAAUUCUGCUAUUCGAAGUUUACUGACUUAGUUCAGUACAUGGAUGACAAAACUAAAUCAGUCGGUGAGUCUUUCAAUGCUUUACUCUUAAUGUGUUUACAUUCUAAACAAAGUUUUUUUAAUCCCUUCUCUGUAUUGUUCAUAGACGUGCUGGGAGUUGUGAUUAGUGCGCUUGAGAGGAAAACAGUUAUCAAGAAUUCAAGGCAAUCAGAUGUUCAGAAAUUUGUCCUGCUUAAUGAAGAGUGAGGACUUUAAUCUUCAGUUUAGCCAAAUGUUCACGCUGCAUUUCUUUCUUUUUCUCUACGGUCAUUUUUUCCCAGUCUCUAACUAUCAACUUUUAUCGUGAUCACAGAUCCCAGCCUGUUCUAUUGUCUCUAUGGGAUAGUUUUCUGGCUAAUGAGGGACAGGAGAUAGUGUCUAAACUUCACACCUAUCCUGUGAUCAUUGCUCGCAGAGUUAAAGUGAACAACUAUAAUGGUUUGCACCCAUUUUACCUUUCGCCAUUUUUACUGUUUAGCUUUUGCAUUCGCCUCCAACACCUGUGAAUAAAUGUGUGCAUUUUCCCUGUCGUAUAGGGGUCGCACUAGGUACUUGGUUUGAUUCAGCGAUUCUUGUUGAUCCACCUAUACAAGAAGCAAGGGAACUCAAAAACUGGUACGAUUUCUUUUCAGUUAUCGCCCUCUGCACAUUUCAGAUGUAAGCCCUGUCCCCACUUUCAGUCCUAACAUUUUUUUAUGUCUCCUUUCACCCAGGGCAUUGAGGAACACUAAGUUCAUUAAAGAGAUUGUCGAAAAAAAGGACUACAUUAAAUAUAAUCCGCAGCUGUCAUUGAAAUCAGGCCAGAAAACCACACUUCAUCACAAAAGGUUUGGGACUGAAACAUGCUGCCCUGCUUUCAUACUCUUUUCGUGUAUGAUCGUCUUUUUAUACUCAUACUUGCUCAUUUUUUAGACUAUAUGGGUGAAGGCACACUUCUCUUUCGAGCACAUCUUCCAGAAAUAUUGGUACAUGAGCUGCAAAAACUGUUGCCGAGCUACAGCAGCAGACUAUCAAGUCGAGUUUACCUGUAACUCGUGCAAAGAGAAACAUCCUGCAGUACCUAGGUGCUAAAUAGUAUACCUGUGCUAUAUUGCCUUAUGUUCAUUGCUAUCUAAUUCUGGUCCACAUCAAAAAACAUGAAUUGCUGCAUAUUGUGUGUCUAUUUUCAGAUGCCGCUUUAAUGUUGAUUUGGCUGAUUCCACUGGUGUCAUACCAGCUUCAGUAUUUGGCGAAUUAGCAGAGAACCUAUUGGCGUUUAGUGCACUGGAAGCAAUGCAACAUUUUAAUGAGGUUCUUGACUCCUGAACCUUGAUAAUAAAGAUAUUUAAUACAACUUUAUUCUUACUUUUCGCUCUCUUAGCAGAAUGUUGAGCUUCCCCUCGAGUUUGUCCACAAGGAGCUUAAAUCAAAGACGUUUCUCCUUCACAUCAAACCUGUUCAAACGCAGCUGGCAGAUUCAAGGCAGCGCUACACAGUUAUAUACUACUCUGAAAUUGAUGAUGAUGCCGAUUCUGUCCAGUUAACAGAUGAACCAAGAGAUGACUCCCCUUUUCCUAGCAAAGAAUCUGAGACUGUACAGCUCGGGGCUGAAGGUAACUCGCAGACGUUUUUUUUUUUGUUCUCCAUUUGAAUUUUACUUUCGCUUUAAUAAUAUCGCAUAUCAAAAAAAUAUGGUCACAGGGGAGAAUACUGCUCGUUCAAAGGUUUGUGUUCAGCUUUCUCAGAGGUUUGAUGAACCACACAGCACUGAAGCAAAUGAGGAUGAAGAUGCAGAAUGCAGCUCUAGCAAGAAGCAAAAAAUCGACUGACUCGUUGCUGUUGAGUCUUUUGGCCACGAAAUCCUUAAUUUCUAUGAUUGACAUGCUAUCAUCUAUUUUUGCAAGGGUACUUAUGCAUUCCUAGAAGGGUGAUUGAUGUAUUGAUGAAAAAUGUCCUUUUGUUCAUGGAUACCCCUUAAACUGCUUUUGGUCUACCCCCUUUUACGUUUGCUGAUAAGCUGCAAUCAGCACCAGUUAUGUGUUUGAAUUGAUGCUUUACAGCUAUUAUGUUCCUGUCACAGUAUCCUUUAAAUUCAUCUUCUACUCUAUUUAACUCAUUAAAUGACCUUGUGGUCAAUGUGUUGUCUCUUAUACGGUAACUUUUGCAGAAUACCUUUAUCAGGGUCUAUUCAACUUUUUCCCUGCACAUAACUCUCUUAUUAAAUAUCACAUCUACUGCUGUGAGCUCCAUUUACUCUGCUUCCUGCCUCAGACUUAGUGUAUCUAUUAGCCUUAAAUUGUGUAGUUGUGCAGCCUUCAAUUCAUUUGCAGAAAUAGAGCUUCUUUCCUGAGCAUAACUGUGUUAUACAAUGCACUAUGCCCUUAAUUGUUUUGAAACACAAUAGAUAAAAUAGAUGCACGGUGGUAGCAGGCCUUGGGUUCCUAGCGUUCACUUCUUUUAAUAUUAACAUGUUCUGCAUCUUUGAUGCAACAAAUCAUUAAUCUCCUUGUAGACUGUAAAUAAAAAAUGAGAGCCAACCAGGCUACAAAAAAAAAUCAUAAAAAAAACUGUUAGCCAUUCAUUGUUUAUAUAUAGCUACUUCUUGAAUAGCUCAUACAUCCAAGGCAAAGCACUGCGAGUUAAGCUGCCUACUUGCUUCCCUUGAGUUAUCCCUAACGUUCAGCUGUUCUCUUUACCUGCAAAUACUUACAUCUUUUACAUUUUUUUUAUUACCUUCUCCAAUCACAUCAAUGGCAGAAGGUUCAUCUACCUAUGGAUUAACAAAUAGCAGCUCAAUGGCCUGUUGUUUUCUACUGAAAUGCAAUCACAGAGGAGAGGUCCAAUUUUCUUCUAUGCGAUGGAAAUUACUUGUUAGCAAUGUAUACUGCAGUUAUAUGCAUUCAUUUCACAUUUUCUAUUUUUCUGUCCUAAACGCAGAUUCUGUCUGCUCAAUUCAAACUAUUACUUGCUCAGCACCAGCGCAAUACAAUCAUUCUCAGACAUGGAAUUUAUAAAUGGCCUGUUGUGGUCGGUCAGCGUUCAUUCCAAGAAGGCUGGGAUGAAUAUUACCAUGAAAACAUUACUAACAAACAUGAUAUCUUACUCCUACGCCAUACCGGCAAUCUCAUCUUUGAUGUCAUCCAUUUUUCGGAGCUGCAGAGACAGGUUUAUCUAUCUUGGACAGUUCCAUUGCCAAAUUUAUUGCAGGCUCGUGCUGCUCAUCCACAAGGUCAGUUAUGCUAACCUUUAUAUCGUGCAGUUACUUGUAACAAAAUUGUCUCUGCUUUAUUAUUUGCUAAAUAAAUUCAAAUAGUGCAGAUUCUAUAAUAAUUCAGCAGUCGGUUGCUUCAUCAAUAAAACCAGAUUUAACCCAAAAUCUUACUGACUCGAUUUCCUUCUAUCAAACAUUUAAUACAGCAUCCCCGAACACAUUGGUAACCUUUCCUUACACUGUUUCUUUUUCCCUCUCUCACUGCAUUCCUUUAAACCGAAUCUAUAUAUUAUGUUCUCACGUCUCACUUUCACUCUUUUGUAUUAGAAAAUCCCAAGAUUUGUCGAUCACUUCGUUAAUGGACAGAGAACUCCAACACUACUUAUUAGAACUGGAGAAAAACUUACAGAGAUUGGUGUGAAAGGAAAAAAGCUAAAAACAAAUUGGAGAAACUUCGCUCUUCAGCAUCAGUUGCAGCACAAUGAAGUCCUCGUCUUCAUUCCAGAAUCAUCAACUACCUUCACACUUUCAGUCUUCGAUGAUGAUGGAGUCGAGAAAGUCUUUCCAUGGUCUUGCAUCUAUGAAAUUUAUUCUAAUUCUCCUGCUUGUACCUAACUUCUGCAGUGUGGUUUUAUCUGUAACCGAAAUUCACUUUUCGCUUGAACCUCUCCAUCACGCAUGUUCAAUUUUUAAUUUCAUUGAACCGCACUUUACAUUCCUGCUAAAUAUAAUUACAUUGCAAUGAAAUUAAGCAUGCAGCAAGUACAUUACAAAUACCUAACAUCUAUUAUUGCUGCAAACAAACUCAAGAACGCUAACAAUUCCGCCUUUCUGUUUGCCAACUAAUUAUUUCAUUCUCCCAGCAAUAAGCUUCGGUUAGGGACCAUUUCCGUUGACUGUGAAGAUAAAUUGUUGCACAGGGAUCCUUUUUGAAAAAUAUUAACCCUCUUCAUUCUCAAUAUACACCUAUUUUGUACCAUGUAUCACAAUUCCAUUCUCCUGUCGAGAGUAGCGCGUUAAUUGUUCCAAUUAUCAUGUUCCAUAAAAAACAAUUGAAUCAACCAUAUACAAACAGUUAAACAGCCUCAAAAUUAAUUCUUCUUGUAUAUUUAAAACCCCCCCAAACAAUCAAUCCUCCACACAAUAAUCCAACAAAAUUAAUUGUGUUUACUCAUUCUUUAAUAUUUUUACAUCUUCCAUUUACUUCUCCGCACGAUUAUCAUAUUUCCACUUCAAAAUUUGGACAUUUUCUGGGCAACACAAAAAUAACACCGCGCGGUGCGCGCGGUGAACCCCUCCUAGUCCUCGGAAAAUGGGCCCCAGGAUUCUGACCUUACCGAAAUUGCCUCCCUCUCCUACACACUAAAAUUCUUCUUAAUUACAAAAUUACUGCAAAACAGCAGAAGAAGAGAAAAGACAAAAACACAAUUACUAUUUCAGAUUCUUUUGCACUUGUUAAUUAAAGACCUAAAAUUUCAUCAAUUUCUGUUAAAACUAUGAUUGACGAGAAUGAUAUUUUCAUUAAGCAGCUAAGUCACAGUACUUACUUACCGAUUUUUUUAAAUCGAGAAUCCUUUUGAAGCUAUGGCUUUUCGAUGCACAUCCACAAAUCAAUUCAAAUAGAUUAAGAGGAAGAAAUGGUAGCCAGCCAAAAGGUUGGUUGGUCCUUGAAAUAUUAAGUUUGAACAUUUUUAGCAAUCUUAACUAUUAAUUGUUUACAUUCAACUUCUAAAACCACGCACUUUUAAUUGUUCCAUCAAUUUUAACGGUUCGACCUAACAAAAUUUAUCUCAAAAUGACAUAGUUUUGAUCAUCUUCUUCCUCCAAGACGUCCAGUCACGGGUACAACUACUUGCUAGCGGUCAACCCCGAUGGCCAAUGAUUAACAUCUAUCUAGACCGACAAGAUUUAGAUGAAAUUAUACGUCUGGACUUUAUGGUUUUGUGUAGAUUCCAAAUUUAUGUUCAAUUUUCUAUGAAUCUUGCUAGAUUUGAGUAGAUUUAUAAAAAAGAAAAGAAAAGAGAGAGAUAGUUUUACCACCACUUUACAAUCCUUUAUAUAUCUUUGGAAUCACAUAUCAACGUAUUCCUUGGAAUAAGAAAGUUCAAAGAGGCAAGGCCCAUUUUGUGUUAAAUUCUCUAACAUUUUAUUCCAUUGAAUUCCUUAUUUUGAUUUAUUUGGUCAUAUUUGCAUUGAAUGAAAGCCCUUUUUCUAAGGACUAUCUCUUUUCCUAUUUUAACUUAUCAUACCCUCGGUUUUUACAUAUGGGAUUGAGUGUGGUGCAAUUUUUAACAGCCCAAACAAACAGAGGCUGAGAAGAAAUAUGUGCUUUUAGAAGUUAGACUGCCAAAAAAUAAAAGUAAUAACUAAUAAAAGCAUAUAAACAUAAUAGUUUGAGGACCAACAAGAUAUUUUGUAGGUAAUGAGUCCAUCAUUACUAGCAAUAUAGGUUACCUCUUUAUUUACAAGAUAGUGGUAGUAGUAGUAACAGGCCAGGCCACCGCUAAUGUCUCCUCUACUAUUAAUAUUGAAUAUGUAAAAGCGUCAAUGGACUUGGGUACAGAAAAAUCAUGUUAAUGUCUCCUCAACUACUAAUAUUGAAUAUGUAAAAGCGUCAAUGAACCUAGGUACACCAAAAUUAUUGUAGCUACUACAGUGGUUUUAGGCCUGUAUGAACAGAAAAAAUAUAUUUGCAGUUGGAUGGUUUUUUCAUCAUUUCAGUGCACUAAUAAAUGGAUGAAAAAAUAUUGCCAACAUGUCUUGAUCGGAUGCUUUUGUUUUUUGGCGAAUAAAAGUUUAGAUGAGUUCAACCCUCGUCACCAUCACAAGUUAGGACAUGCCUCCGAGAUCACAAGUUUCUUACAAGAAUUCUUAUAAAUUGGAAACUAUCAGAUUGUAAAGGAUUUUCUUGCCCCUUUUUUGUCCACCUCUUUACUCACUUCCUAUUUGUCCUUUAAAAAUAUCUUAUUUUAAUUAUGUUUUCUUAUUUUCCUAAGUUUUAAUAACUAAUAAUAGGAUAAAAAAGGAUAAAUUUUUUAUACACUAUCAACGUAUACGCUAGUGGGUUUAGAUGCAUGCUAUAUAUACAAAAUUUGAUAUUUAAAUUCAAAUUCAAAUUCAGAUGAUGUGACAUUCAUCCAAUCCCGUCAAUGUAUACAUUGACAGUAUAGAAAAGAUUAAUCCAAAAAAAUACAAUAGACUAACUACGUCAAAUAUCAUAGAAACAUGAAAUUUUGUAUAACUUUUCUUUUUUCUCUUAUAUAGUACUGUUGAAAUUAAUUUGCAGUCUUACGCUUGUACGCUCAAAAAUGGAAUUACUCUUGGAGGAUACACUUGGGUGAGUGGCAGAUCCACAAAUUUGAUCCAAGGAGUUGCCAUCUGGAUUGGAUCCGCAGCUAAAUCCAUGUAAUGAAUUCAGGUGCAGAUCUGAUAAAGGAUUUACCUAUGGAUUGGAUUUGCGAACAGAUCCGUGUGGGCUUAGGCCUGAUCUGCCGGGUACCCACUAUAAAUAUGGCAUUUGAAAGUUGUUUUCUUCCUUCAGCUACACGACCCAAUUUUAUCCCUUGUCAAGGUGAAAUCUCGAUCUACAUUCAACCAAAAAAAAAAUAAAAAAUAAAAAAGAAAAAUGAUUCUGAUUUUGAUUUUGAUUUUGCCAUCUAUCAUGUCACUAUCGAACUUUAAUCAUUCUGUGAUACUAGUUAAACAAAAUGAUUCUGAAUUCAAGGUUUAAAUAAAAGAAAAAAAAUUGUAACUAACCGUCAAGGUUUAUUUGAACAUUAUUGUGCUAAUUGUCAAUUUUUGCAGAUCGAAGUGCCAAUGAAAAAUCAUUAAGUGGGUACAUUGAUCAUUGGAUAUCUAUCUAGUGAGAUUAAUAAUUGUACUUUUUUUGAUUAAAAGAAGAAAUUUUAUUAUUAAGAUUGCUGGAAAUCAUCCGGCAGCAAAAUGAUCGAUAAAAGUGGAGGGAGAAUUUCAAAGGAAUUCAAACAUAAUUAGAUGAUUUGGCAAAGGGAACCAAUUCACGAGCAACUUAGUUUGUAUUCUUAGAACCCAAUAUAUACAAAGAGGUAAAAAGAGUAUAAGUUUUAUGAUCCACAAAUCAAUGUAAUUAGAUAUGCAACAAAACAUGCCAAAGUUCCCUUAAUUAGCCUUUUACAUUAGAAAUUUCAUCACAAAAUAAAAAAAAAAUGUAGUAUAGUCCAUCAAUACCAAUCAUUCGCUUUAAAGAAUUUUGGAGAUUGAGCUGUUCUAUCAAAAAGGUAGAAACCAUCUUCCCUGACUUCCCAAUUGCAUUCAUUAGUGCUGGAGUGGCCGCAGUAAUCAGAAAUCUUGCUAUCAAAAACAGCAAAACCGCCUUGUUUGGCAAACCACCAAAAAUGACAGUAAAAUGCUGUUCUUUCGAAAAGUGCCAUUCUGAAAUGCCAAUUCCAGUCUUCAGAUAAAUCCAGGGUGCGAAAUCCCAAAUCAUCAUCUGCAGAAAAACAAUGUGCCCUUAAUUUAUCGGGCAAACGAUUAACUAUAUGAACAUCAUAAGGCUCCCCAUCACCAUGAACAUGUAGUAUUGUUUCCACAAAGAAAAAUGACAAAAGAAGAAGGGCAAAGAAACUUUUACUUGUGAUAUAGUUCAUUUUGUUUAUGGACAAACUGUUACAAUGCAUGCUCUAAGUUUUCCAACGUCACCUUUAUAUAGUAUAGAAAUGCCAAAUAUCUCUUACAAUUAUUACUUCCAUAAUAAAAUAAAUUUCCAAUUAUUAGUACAUUGUCAAAUAUCUCUGCAUUAAUAUCGGUGUAAUCCAAUUUUGAAUUCAAGUGUAUGAAGUGUUAAUGCAGAUUUUUCAAAAGAAGAAACACUAUAUACGGUUAAUGCAACAAAAAUUUUGUACUAAAAUGUUAAAUAUGUUGAAAAUAUUGGCCACUAUUUUAGUAUAAACAUUUAAUCACAGAGAUCAAAAUGUUUUUACUAUUUUCUCUAUACAAAAACUUUGUACCAUCCAAACUUUAUACCUAGAGCUGUUAUCUAGUUUUAACUCGUUUAACAAAGAGAUGCUUUUUUAAACUAAAUGAUGAUGUUACGUUGAUAUAAAGCGUUUUCAUGAAUGUUCAUGCAAUUAAGAACACAUUUGUAAUAUAUUUAAUUCAAUUCAUGUUGCAUUUAAUCUUAAACCCUUAAUUGGAAGUAUUAAAAACCUGAGGGAUCCAUUGAUAAAAACUUCAAAAUUAGGGACCAAAAGUGUAAAGCCAAAUUUUUCACUGACACCAAUUUAAUAUGAUUGUUAGAAUUCGCAAUUUUUCCAUUAAUUGUCCCAAAAUUUUCCUAAAACAUAAAAUUUUAGGGGCCAAAUUUGUUUUAAUUGAAACAUUAGAGACUAAUUUGACUCAUGGAUUAAAUAUUGGGGGAGAAAGUGUAAUUUUUGCUAAUUUUUUCAGCAUAUCCUUUCCCCCGAUUAAUAGUAGCUGAAACGUUGUUAUUCAAUCUAAAUGCAAUUUCAACUAAUUAUGAGCAUCCGGUAAAGCAAUAACUUAAACAGAAAUAAAUGGAUCUAUUACAAUAGCUUAGAUUAAAAGAAAAAUCGGCUAGAAUUAGUUAUUUGAAUGAACCACUGUUGUAAAUACAUGCGUAGCACCAGACUUUACAUCAUUGGUUACUUGGCGACCACACCUCCGCCAGAUUUACAUUAUCAUGUGAAGCUCUUAGGCAUUUGAAGUCGGGACCAUCUACGAUAAAAAUCAUUCCAAGAAUGUGGGAGAAGAAAAUAAUUUUAAAAAAAGGAGAAAAUUGGGUAGAUAUCCCACAUGUUACUAUAACUUAUUUUGAUUUUGUCGAAUUUAAUCAUUCUGUACAAUAGGGUAAAUUAUUUAUAAUCCCCUUGUGUCUUUACAAAAUACUAAGACGACCCCUCUAAAGUUUCAAAAUAAGCACAUAACUUCCCUAUGAUUUUAUGUAAAGUGAAAAUCUUAAUCAGUUACUACGUUUAUACCAAACGUACUCUAAAAGCGUGUGUGUUAAAAUUUUAAACUCCAUGUAACCCUCUUAUGUUUUGUACAAUAUUCACUUUAUCCUCGUGUAAUUUUUACAUUUAUCCGCGUAAUUCUUUUAUACUUUUACACAAGAUAGUUAAUCCAUCAAUUGAUUUAGCAUUUAAGUAAGGGCACUAUUGGUAUUUCAUUUAACGCAUCACAUAGACUAUUCUCCAUCAAGUUUUCACUUUAUAUAAAAUCAUAGAAGGUGAAGUAGAUAUUUUGAAACCUCAGAGGAGUUAUGCGGCAAUAAAAAAAAUCACAAGGAGUUACAUGCAAUUUACUCAUUAUUUAAACAAAGUUAUUUUUGAGUCAAGGUUUAUAAUUAAAAAAGGAAACCAACCGUCAAGGUUUAUUGAUCAUUAUUGUGCUAAAUGUCAUGAUAAGAACCGUUGGUGAAUGAAAUUCGCAUUAACAAGCCCAAGAACCGUUGGUGAUUAACACAAGUUUGAAUAACCGAAUUCCUAUACAGACUCCUCUAAUUUCCGUAGUUGUGAACGUUGAUACGAUCCUGACCCGUAACCACAUAAACUAGCGAACCUUAUGAAAGAUAGUACAAUGCCACAACCUUAUGAAACUAGUGUGAUUUUAGAUUGAUAUGCCAAAACAAACACUCAAGACAAUUCUAAAUUGUUCAAGGGUAUUUAAAAAGCCAAGAGAGCUAUCUCUCAAGAUGAUUUUUCUGGAAAAAUAUCACUUUUUUCUUUAUUUAUUAAAGCGUUGCCUUAUUUAUAACCUUAUAAGACACAAAAACCUAAUCUAAUUUGGAAAUAAUACAAGAUUCCUAAUUCGACACAAUUUCCUAACUAACAAAGAAACCCAGAUAGGACACAGUUAUUAUGCUAGAUAUGUUUUAGUAGAGUUACACGACUCAAACGGAUACCAGGAAAUCGAAAAUAACUCAAAAAUCAUGAAAAUUGCUUAAAAUGAGAAAAUCUUAUACAACAACGAUCGGCUUGGGACAUUGAAUUGGAUAUGGGUCGCAGGGUGGAUCAGCAGCCUGGGUCGCGGAUCCGGUCUCCGUUUCUACUUCUGCUUCAUUUUCCACACUUUUCCUUCAACAAUGAACUACACCGACGCCCCCCAAGUUCAAAACAACACAAUCCCUGGUUUGUUGCGCAUCAUCAAAUUGAACCAAGUAGAUGCUUUUGAAACACUAAUAGUAACUUGAAAAGUUCGAACCAUAGUGAGAAAGUAACUCUUCACUUUGGUUGGCUCCGUGCUCUCAUCACGUUAAUUUCUGCAAUUUACUGAAUUUUUUUUAAUUUUUUAGUGGGAAGAUCGAAGUUCCAAUAAAAAAACCCUUUAGGUGGGUAAAUUUGAUUGUUGGAUAUCUGUCUAAUGAGAUUAAUAACCGUACAGUCGUACUUAAUUAUAUACAUUGAGGUAAAAAGAGUAAAGUUUUAUGAUCCAAAAAUCAACUCAAUUGGAUAUUUCGUUUAACCUUUUACAUUAGAAAUCUCAUCACAAAAUAAAAUAAUAAUGUAGUAUAUUCUAUCGAUAUCAGUCAUUCUUUUUUUUUUUGUCAUAACAACUGAGUCAGGGGAACUUGACUGGAACUAAACCACAAUUAGACCAGACGGGUGCACCACAUACCCGUACGAAUUUAGAACAAACCUCAUAUUGAGGCAUAUUGAUGGGAGCUCGGAUGAUUAAUUUGAGGUCAGAUUUUGCAUUGUCUUUCUUUUAUGAACUAGAAAUGAUUACUCGAAGGAUAAGAGAAAAGAUGUGGAAUCCUCCAUGUAGAAGAUAAAAAAAUGAAUAGGACAGCGAAUGAAUUUUUGGUACUUAGAACAGAAUCAAAACAAUUUUCAACUUUUACUGAUGUACUAAAUAACAAAAAGAAAUUAUAAUAUCAAGGCUUGACAAACAAGCCUCUUUAUUGAAAAAAAAAAAAAAAAAAAAAAAACUUACCUCCUGAUCUUGUUGCCGUGCUUGGGAAAUAGUAGCAAAAUCUUUUUCUUGUUUUCCUUUACAUAUUACUGCGCUUGUUAGCAAUUCCACAACACAUGAAAUUUGUGCCUUAGCCACCUAAAUAAACAAAUACCUUAGAAGAGGGCUACUAUUAUUCGACUCAUGAUCCUCAGUUCUAUUGUUCUUUGGCUUCAAGACCUUUUGCUUCACUUUGCCCCACAACUUCUUUGCCCUCUGGGAUGCAGUUUCUUUCUUCCUAAAUGUGUAACUUCUAAGAAAUUUUUGCCUUCUAAUAUAGUAGUCACUGCUGCCCCAAAUUAAACCUGUUUCUAGACUAGUAUUUAUGGAAGAAAACGAGGGUAAGCCCUCUAUUUCUCUUCUCAUGCUCAACUUCCUCACCAAUUCUCUAUCCGCUUGCGUCCAUUCUUGAAGCUCUGUCAUCUUCUUACUAGCUGGAGAUUCAAUGUGGAAGAAGAAUUCGUAAUCGUGAAUUUUGUCGACCGUCUUCUCUAAAGGGGCUAAAAUUUAAAGGGCCUUUUAUUCAUAAUUUUGUGGCCGUUCAAUACUGCUUGUAGGAUUAUAUAUAUAUACAUCCACCUCAUGUAUAAACCGACUCCUAGAAGAAUUAGGAAAUUUAACAGUAUUGCACGCAUGGAAUUCGUAUUGGAAAGGUUACCCUUUUUUAAGAAACAAUUAUGGUGAAUAACACUUGGAACUCUUCUUUUACAAAGAAAAGGAAAAGCCAAUUCUAAACAAUUGUGAUGGACUAAUGAUUUUGGCACUCCAAAUUUAUUCUUUUUUUAACUAAGAUGCCGUAGGCUAUCUUAAUUCAGAACCCAAAAUACCCACAAAUACAUAAGUAACAAGGCAACUUGAAACUUGAUGAGAAAAAUAGUAGCUAUUACUAAUUAAUUAUAGCACCUUUUAUGUGUGGUUAUAAUAUUUUUGAGGUAAUAGAAUUAUUGGAACAAAUAGUGCACCAAAAGGCUGGUCAUAGCUCAAAUCUCCUGCAAUCAACCCAAACAAAAAAAAAAAAAAAAUCAACAACAACAACGGAAGUGUUGUUUGCCCAUGGAAACAAUCAGUUGGUCUUAUGUUUUAGUAAAAACAAAGUUUGCAUUGUUUUUUUUUAUGAACUAGAAAAAAAUUAUGGGAAGGAUAAGAGAUAAAUAUCUGGAAUUAUCCGUUUAGAAGAAAAAGAAUACAUAGUGAGGAUAGCUUAUGAAUUUUUGUUGCUAAAAAUAAAAUUUUAACAAUUCUCAACGUUUAUUGAUGUACUAAAUGAUACAAAGAAAAUUGGUCUUAAGAUUUACAAACAAGCCUCUUUAAAAUUAAAAAAGAAUUUUAAAAAACCGAAAAUUUUGACCUCUUGAUCUUGGUGCGAUGCUUGGCAAAAAGCAGUAUCUUUUUAUUGUUCUUGUGACAAAUUACCAGCUUUAGCAAUUCUAAAAACAUGAAAUUUAUACCUUGGCCACCAAAGUAAACAAAACACCUUUUAAAAAAUUUUUUUUCUAGUAGAGGGGGAGUAGGACUUAACGAGCGGAGAGAGAAUAGGAGGAUUUGAACUCUAGAUCUUCAAUUUCUGAAACCUCCACCUUAAUCACAAACAAAACACCUUAAAAGAGUGCUCCAAUAAUUCGAGUCAUAAUCCUCAGUAUUAUUGUUCUUUGGCCUCAAGACCUACUCACAAAUUUUAUUUAGGGCAAAUUCCACUUUACUCCCCUGUGGUUUAGCGUUUUCUACAUAAACCCACUCAUGGUUUGGAUUAAAGUGUCAAAAUGACAGAAAUGAUUAUUCGUAAUGGAGCCAUCUAAAAUGUCAAAAAUACCCUUAUGUAAAGUUGAAUAUUAUUUAUUAACCAAGGGGGGUUAUGUAUAUAUUUUGAAAACCAUAAGGAAGUUAUAUGGUAAAAUAUUAAACUAUAAGGGGGUUAUAUGGUAAAAUAUAAAAAUCAUACGGGGUUAGUGUGUCAUGUAUUUAUAAGGGUAAUUUAGGCAUUUUUAGAAGUUCCGUUACAAAUGACUAUUUUCAUCACUUUGACACUUUAAUCCAAACCAUGAAGGGAUUAUAUAUAGUUUUUGAAACCAUAGGAGGAUUAUGUAAGAAAAUGCUAAACCAUAGAGAGGUAAAAUGUAAUUUGCCUUUUUAUAUAUGUACAUCAAUUUGAUACAUAAAUACGAUGACGUCUAUAGCACAGAUCAAAUUGUGGAAGAAAUAUAAUAACCACAGUCAAUGGUACUAAACAUCAACCGUGCCUAUCCCAAGCCCAAUUUAAACAUCUGAAAUACAAAUUUAUCAGAUACAAGCUAAUACACAAACAGCAGCAAAUUGCGUAUUCGACACUACAAUUUGUGCAAAAUCAAGUGAGCACCAUACUGCGGCUGAAUAGUUAAAACUACACGGGGAGCAUGUGUAUAAGAUGGUGAAAGUUCAAAGGAGAAGCGCUGCAGAAUCAUAGCUAGUGCCACUUUUGCUUCUAACAUAGCAAAGUUUUGGCCAAUACAUACGCGAGGUCCGCAACCAAAUGGGAAGAAUGCAACUUUUCCAUUUGUUGCGUUUGAGACUCCAUCAGCAAACCUCUCUGGCUUAAACUCCUUCACAUCAUCCCCCCAUAUUUCAGGGUCAUAGUGCAACAACAUUGCUGGCAAUGAUACCUGCACUUGAGAUGGGAGAGUUAAAUUUCCCAAUUGAGUUUCUUCAGCGGCUUUUCGAGCCAAUUCAGGUACUGGUGGAUAUAGUCUGAGAACCUCGUGUAGUAUCAUGGUGACCUAUCAGAUACAAUAAAUUACUGAGAAUCCUUACUAAAGUUUUAACAAUUCCACACUAAGGAGCUAUUUGGUCCAAAUUCUGCAACAAUUAUCACUCUGAAUAUGAUAAAUUGGGCAAUAGCUAUGGGUUUUAUAAAAAAACUUUACAGUAAUAGGUUUUAGGAAUAAAAGAAUAGUGGAUAAGUAAAAUCCCACUGUUUAGCAGUUAAUCAUGAAACACGUAGAAGGAGUAUAUAUAAUCCAUUAACUAAUUUUGAUUUAUCAUAAAUAAAUAUUAUAUACUGGAUAAAUAAAAGGGCAAAUUACAUUUUAUCCCCCUGUGGUUUAGCCAUUUUUUACAUAACUCCCAUAUGAUUUCAAAAGCUAUACAUAACUCCCCCAUGGUUUGGAUUAAAGUGUCAAAGUGACGGAAAUAGUCACUCGUAACGGAACUUCUAAAAAUGUUGAAAUUACCCUUAUAAAUACAUGACAUAUUAACCCCGUAAGAUUUUUAUAUUUUACCAUAUAAACCCCCUUAUGGUUUAAUGCUUUAACAUAUAACCCCCUUAUGGUUUUCAAAAUAUCCACAUAACCCCCCUUGAUUAAUAAAUAAUUUUCAACUUUACAUAAGAGUAUUUUUGACAUUUUAGGUGGCUCCGUUACGAAUGAUCAUUCCCGUCACUUUGACACAUUAAUUCAAACCAUAAGGGGGUUAUGUAUAGUUUUUGAAACUAUAGGGGGAUUAUAUAAAAAAAUGCUAAACCACAGGGGAUAAAGUGGAAUUUGCCCUAAAUAAAACCCUACUAUUUAGUAGUUGAUCAUGAAACUCAUAGAAGAGUUAUAUAAAAUCCAUAAACUGAUUCGGAUUGAUGUUAAACAAACAUUAUAUAAGAGUGUGAUUGAUAUUGAAACCCAUUUUUUUAUGUUGAAACACGCUUACCAAACACCUCCCAGCAAAACUCUUUAGAGUUUAGACCUCGCUGGACAUGAUUACUUCAUAGAGUUCAAUUCUGAUACCGAAGAAUGAAUGCAAAUAAAGACGAAUCAAGCAAGUAAAUUAAGAUCUUCCUAGCAAAGCUAUAUUAGUUACAGCUAAGUAUUUCUUUUCCCUUAUCAAGAAACUAUAUAGAGUGUUCAUAUUUAAGAGCUUGAGGUGAUUUUACAUCUAUGCUGGUGGCUAGAACAGUAGAAACUAUACUGAAAAAGCAUCAGAAGAUUAAUAACACAAGUUUACAACAGGAUUUUUGUAAUUUGUAAAGAGUACUUACCAAUUUUAGGUGAUUUAGUCCAUCCAAAUCUGGCUUGUUAGUCCCAAAGUGUUGCAAAACCUCUUCUCUUGCACGCGCUUGCCAGUUUGGAUACCUACUCAAUAAGAUCAUUGUCCAGACAAGCAGCACUGAAGUGGUCUCCUGCCCCGCAAAAUAGAACAGCUUACAUUCUUCAAUAACCUCUCUAAUACUCAUGCCAAAACCCUUGUUUCCAUGAUAAUCAAUUUCUUUAGAAUUGGAUUCGAGUAAUAUACUCAAUAAGUCAUCUGCACAAGCUUCACCUGCUUCCAUUGCUUCCAAUCUUGCAUUUAUAAUUUUCCUGAUAGAUUCAUGAACAUCUUUUGCAAUUUGUUUCAUUCUUUUAUUCCUUUUUGUUGGCAAGAACCUUUGAAAAAACACAGUUUCACAACAAGCAACAAACGGUUAUAUAUCACAACUACAUUAACUGUGUAAAGGGAUCUAUCCAAGCAAUAGAAUCAAAUUUGAAGUCAAAAGUUUCUUUAGUACAGAGAAUGCCGUGAGUAAAUAACAUUUACCUCCAUCCUGGGAAGUAUACUGAUUUUAGAGCCUUUAUGUGGUAUUGAGCCUGUUCUGUUUGAAGUUCAAAUAUCCUCGUACCUUCUUUAUAGUUACUACCAAAUGCUGUCCGUGAAAUUGCAUCACAAGUCAGAGUUCGAAGAUCCGGCCAAACAUCCAACUCACAGGAGCCAUUGGUCGAAACAAUCUCCUCCCAUUUGCUCAACAUCUAACCAGCACAGGUACAAAAUGAUGGGACCAUGUGCUAUAGGCAAGAAAACCGAACAAGGGAAAAUAAGUCUGAAGAAAUGUUACUUUCCUGGCAAGAAUCCUCGGUUCAUUUUGUCUGUAGAUAUCAUAUUUUCUCUAACAUCAUAUGAUCCGCUAAGAUUUUAAUAUAUUCAUAUAACCUUAUGGAGAAAAUGGCCUGAACGCAUCUCCAUUUAUGACAAUUGGCCAAGACGCAUUUAAAUGUGAUGAAAUUAUAAUAUUUACUUAACUCGUCUCAUGAUUUUGCAUAAAUAUGUAAUUAAUGCCCUAUGGUUUUGCAUCUAUUUGUACAAUCCCCCUAUAAUUUUGUACAAAAUGAAUAGACUCCUAUUAAAUUUAUUACUUACAUAUGGGUAAUACUAACAUUUCAACUAAUUAUGCUAUGAAGACUUUUUUCACCAAAUUUUCACUUUAUAUGUGGAUAUUUUGAAAUCUUAAGGGGAUCAUUUGAUAUUUAUUAUGCUAAAGUACAAAGGGGUUACAAGUAAUUUCCCUAUUUGUUUGUUGCUUAAUCUGAUACUCUACCACUUUAUACGGGAACUCGUUCAUUUCAAUGAAAUAAUAAAUUUUCCAACAUUCCUGGUAUGACAACCUUACCUUACAGAUCCUAUCAAAAAUGAAGUGAUAGUUCACUAAAUAAACCAGAAAAAAUUAGAGAAGACCUUCAAUUUCUCCACAUGGAAAGCGGGAGUCAUGAGUUUUCUGUGUUUAGCCCAUUUAUCACCAUCAUAGCUCACCAGCCCUUGUACCAACAAUUUGGUAUCUGGAGUAUCACCAGGUUUUUGAAAGAUGGAAAGCUUUGAAGUAAUCUCCCUUAUGUGUUCAGGGUUCAUGAUCACCACUGUCAGUUUUGGUCCAAGCCAUAUGUAUGUAUUCUUACCUGAGAGUCAUUUACCACUUGUUUCAACUCAAAUUAAACAAACAUAAUAAAUCAAGGAUACUUAGGAGCCGUCACUAUCACUAAGAAUAUGAAGUAAAAUCUCGAUAAAUUAAUAACCUCUAUUAAAUAAUACUUUUUCCUAGUCCAGACUAGGCCUAACAAGUUAAAUUAAUAAUUUUAAUAAAAUAAUAAUAUAAUAAUUUUUUUUUUUGGAAAACAUUACAUAACCUUUUGGUCCCAUUCAUAUUAUAAAUUAAUAAUUACAUAUCAUAUUUUCUUAAAAUAUGAGUCUAUUGUUGUUUUUUCUUAAAAUUUAAAUCUACUUGAGUCUCAUCCCUAAGUUUUCUUAUUGUAUCUAAAAGUUUUAGAUUUGAAUUCUGAUAUUGUAAUAAAAAAUUAUGAAAAGUUAUUGAUGUUUUGAGUGCUCCCUUCCACAUAACAGUUAUGCAUGUAUACUGAAGAUAUUACUAGAAUUAAAUUAUACUUGCAAAUUAAGUAGAUACGAAUUGAUUUAUAUUGCUUAGACAUUUAGCCUCCUUUUAUUAAUAGAAUAAUUCAUAUUUUUAUAAAAUAAAAUAGAACUUUCAUUGAUUAAAUGAGUAUUUUUUGAAUUGUAAGUACACUCGAUAAAUUAAUAAUUUAUUAAUUUAUCGAUUAAUUAAUACCUCUUUAAAUUAAUAGAAUUUGUAUGGUUCUAAGGUUAUUAAUUUAUAGAGGUUUUACUGUUUUAUGGAAUAAUAAUGGAUUUGAUAAAAACCCUUGGAGUAAUUGGUAGUUUUACAGCAAUAAGUUUUGUGAUAAAAAUAAUAAUGAAUAAAUGAAACUCUACUCCUUAAAAGUAAGUCAUGAAACCAGAGAAAUGGUUUAUGAAACCUAUUAAUUGAUUCUGAUUAAUUUUUUAACAAACAUUACGAAUGGGUAUGAUUCAAAUUGAAAUUCAUUCCUUUUUUUGAAACGUGUACUUAUCAAGCACCUCCUUGUCUCUGCAUUAGUAUUGCUAUUGAUAAGUGACUAAUUUACGUAAUAAUUGUAUGACAUUUUAUAUUAUUUUUAGUCACUUUGGUUAUAUUAUUGGAAGAAUAUGAAUCAUUUUGGCUAUAAUUGGUGAAUAAAUGUUUUUAAGUGAUUAAAUGAGGUUUUUAUCACUUUUUACUUGGAUUUUGUGUAUUUUGACAGUUUUGACACAUUUUCGUAUUUCGUCUAUAACUUGAGUUACAAUGAUCGGAUUGGGAUGAUUCUUAAACCCAUUUGAAGAUAAGAGAUAGAUCUACAACUUUGGUGAAGACAUCUAAAUCCAGUUUGAAGGUUUUCCAGGUCAAAUUGCCGAAUUACAAUAGCAAAUUUCUACUGGUCGAAGCUGGAACAGGGCAAUGAGCAGGUAAGGGUAUUUCGGUCAUUUCUCAGCCUACACAGAUCCAAAUGAGGUGAUUCUUGAUGCAUUGGAAAGCUAACUCAAAGGGCUACAAGUUUCAUGUUUUGGUCAAGAGCUAAAUCAGCUUUUAUCAUCAAGAAAAAUGCAGUUGAAAUUGAGUCAAAAUCGGAGCAGAGCUGGAAAUUGAACCAGAAGUGACCAAAUGGUCACUGUAUCAAUCCGGCCGGAAUUUGGCCGGAUUGCGGUCAGAAAAGGCUGCUCUGUACGCGUAAAACUCAAUUUCACUCCCACCAACUCACAUGUGAUGCUAUACAUGUGAGAAACAUUCCCAGCUGUAAAAGGGAGAUGUAAUCCUCAUUUCUUGACCACCUUUCAUCAUUAAAGAGCAAAAUUCAUUGCAAGAAGAUGGAGAGGGGAGUCCAUAGCAAAAAAAAUAGAGAGUGAGCUACGGGGAAAAGCUUGAAGCUGCAGAAAUGUAGCUCUUUCAUCUCCCUAGUGUUAGUUUAGCUUAGUAUAGAGUAGUGUAGCUUUUCCAUUCUUGUUUAUUAUCUAGAUUAGGAUGAAGAUGGAGGAUGAAGAAGGCAAGGAAGAAAGCUCAUGUGACAAGGGUUGUAUUCCUUCCAAAUUCUUUAUCUUUUGUAUUUGAUUCCAAGUUUAGUUAAUAUACAAGUUCUGGAUUUUGUGUUUAAUAUGUGUUUCUAAAGUUUAUACCUUGGGUUUGGUUGAACUUUCUAUAAUUGUUAGUGUUUAUUAUUUGGUUAUUUGAUUGCUAUGAUUUGAGCAAGUUAUUUAGCACUUUGGCUCUUUAAAUCAUGAUUAAUCUGGUACCAUUGAUUGUGAUUAUCUAAGGUGUUGUUUCUGCAAUGGAAAUUGAGAUUUAACACUAGUUCAAGAAGUGCUAAACAUAGGGAGUACACUCACGAAAGUAGAGGUGCAUCUAUGUGGUUUUUAGUGAUUCAUUUCAUGUAAUUUCAUUGAAGAAAUGAACUUGUAGCUAAUUUCAUAACCAUGAGAAUAGGUAUGGAUUAGUUAUAAGUAUAAUUGAUUCACUACGAAAGUAGGAUUCAAAUGCAUAAGGAAAUUACACCAUAACUAGCCUAGAUGUAGUAAUUAAUGAUCCAAAUAUAGCACUUGCAUGAGUAGUUAGGGAUACCACAACCUAAGGAGCUUUCAUUUGCUAUUUUUUGCAUAAUUUCAGUAGGUUUUAAUUUGUUAUAAUUCAUUGAUAGUCUAAAUAAUAGAGAAGCUUUAGUAAUACCGGUAAUUGUUCACUCUUCCCUGUGGGAUCGACCCGAUAUAUACCCUAAACUACUAGUUGAUCUGUAUACUUGCAGUGAACGGGUGUAAUUCGGUAUUUUUUAGCUUGCACGUAUGUAAAAUACCCGUCAAGUUUUUGGCGCCGUUGCCGGGGAAGAUUUGGCAAUAUCGGUGUGAAGAGCAACUUUAUUAGUUUAGACAUAUUAUUAGUUAUAUUGUGAAUGUUAUUUUCUGUUUUUUAGUAUUUUUUAUGUGUAUGUGUUUUAUCACCUAUUCUUUUUACUAAUUUUGCUCUUAAGUUGUUUAAAAGCAUUUUUAGGUGAUGAGAAGAGUAGGUCAAGUUGGAGGACAAUGCUUGAGAAAUGGAAGAUUGGCAAUGGAUGGUUACCAAGUGCAAAGCUCCUUCAACAGAGGUAACCAAGAAUUUACUGAAGAUAUGUCUUUUGAAGAUGGUUUAAGGUGCUUAAAGGCAAAAUUUGAUGUAAUUAAGUUACAAGUUCAAAUGGACACCAUGAUGCAUGAAAUUGAGCAGAGGAGGAAUGUUAUUGUUUUUAAUUCUUAUCAUGUGAUUUGUGACUUGUGUGGAGGUUAUCAUGUUACUAAUACAUGUAUGCAAGUACAAAAUGUGGAUUAUUAUGAUGAAUUAGAGCAUUACAAUCCUUGUUUUGAUCAAUAUAGUGCUAAUUGGAGCAAUUCUCCUACUUAUGGUUGGGAUAAUCAAUGUACUUAUAGUGACUCUCCUUAUUUUUAUGAUUACCAAUCUGAAAGUGUCCAAUAUGAAUCAAAACCAUCUUGGGAGUUGGCAAUAGAGAAGUUAGCUAAUGCACCUCUGCCUUGGGAAUUAGAGAAUGAACCAUUAGCUAAUGAUUCUAAUGCAUUUUGGGAACUAGCUGCAAAAAAUUAUUCUAAUCAAUUUGAUUUAGCAAUAGAAAAGCUAACAAAUGCAACUUCCGACCGUUUUGAUAGGAUUGAGGAAAGAAUAGAUGAAUUAGCUUCUCACUUUGGUCAAAUACAUGAGCAAUUGAGUGCAUUGUGUGAAGUUAUUUCCUCUAAUAAUGUGCAAAAUGAUCCUAGCAUGAAUGGUGGGAAUGUUGUAUGUGAAAAUGGGUUGCAUUUUGAUGAAAAUGAUGAAUCUCAAUUGUGUUUCAAUGAGCAAAUGUCCAUUUCACAUGAUAAUAUCUUUGGAACUAACUUUGAACCUCAAGAGGUGAGUUUUAAUGACUCAUUUUUCACCCCUCUUGAGGAGUGCAUUGAAAGUACAGGUUUUAAAGAUAUUCCUACCCAAGAUACUUUCAUGCCAUUUCCUUUGGUAAGUUCUCAAGUGGUGCAUAUUCAAGGUAAUAUCUAUGAAACACUUGGAAUAUGUAAGUCAUUUCCAUUUCUCACAUCAUUAGAUCAUGUGGCUUUUUCUAUUAAGUCACCAUACAAUGAUCCACCACGGCCUAAAAUGGUGGAUUAUUCGUUAACUAAGCCUCCUUGAAAAAUGAGGUGAUAUAGUCAAGCUAUUGACUUUAAAGAAGCGCUUAUUGGGAGGCAACCCAAUGCUUAUUUAAGUUGGUGUUACUUUGGAGUGAUUUUAUGUUUAAAGUAUAAGUUUGAGUAAUUUUGUUGUUUUUCAUUUGUAGGUUUUGGAAAAGUGACCAAAUGAGGUGAAAAGACGAAGUUCGAUCAAAGAUCUCAAUACCUCAAUUUCAGUAAUUAUGGUUUUUGAUGCAUUAAAGAGGUUUAGAAUGCAUGUUUAGAUCAUUUUACAUGUGCGUGAAUGGUUUAUUUUGACAUAGAAAUGAUCUAGGGUGUAUUUUGAAGAAUUGAGGUCAAACUGAAAAUUGCAAAAAUUCUGCAAUAAGUGCAGAUUCAAUGGAUCCGAGGCCUCGGAUCCACUUCUGCAAUCAGAAAAAAAUUUGAACUUCUUGAUCCGAGCUCAUUCACAAUGAUCCGACCUCGGAUCCUUUCAAAAACGACCUCGGAUCCUGUUAAAAACGAAGGCUUGGAUCACUUUUCAACUCCACUUUUCUUCAUGUUGGCUUGUUUUUAGUAAGUUUUAGUUGUUCGAUUAAUGUUUUUGUGUGUUUUGUAGGUGGCAAUGGCAAGAGUUCAUGCAAAUGAUCUCAAUUGCAAAGGUGUUUAAAUUAAGGCAAAAAGGGAGUUUUCAUGUUCAAUUGCUGCAUUUCAUGCAUUUAAAGUGUUUCAUGUUUAAGUUAUAUUCAUGCAUGAUCAUGAUAAAGUUGAAUUUUAUUCAAAGAACAUGAAGUAGGUUGAAUGUGGAAGGUUGGCCAAGCAAAUUUGGAGGAAAAACUGCAGAAAACAGCUUUUUCUGCAGCAAAUCCGGCCAUAAAUCCGGCCAAAUGUUGGCCGGAUUGAAGGCCGGAUAGUCAGGGGAGAAAAGAAAAUUUUUUCGAGCAUUCUGGAUAGAAUCCGGCCGAAAAUCCGGCCUGAAAUCCGGCCAAAAACUGGCCGGAUUGUAAAAAAAAAAAUAAAAAAUAAAAAAAUCUGCCCAGAAUCCCUCCAGCAAUCCCUCCACGAAUCCCUCCAAUUUCUGGCCGGAUUGUGAACAGUAACCAGCGUAAGAUGAAUCCGUUUCACGGAUUCCUCACAAUUUUUCUCCCUUCUUCUUCAACCCAACUCACACACUAACACCUCAAACACACACCACUCACUAAAACACCACUUUUCACAAUUUAAUCUUCAAAUAACCUUCACCAAAUCACUUUCUCCUAUCCUCUAGAGUGAAUUUCAUAGUUCAUAUUUUUUCAAAAACAACUCUAAAGUGGUUUCAAGCUUACCAUUAGUUAGGGUUCUACCUUCUUGAAAUCACUCAAUUGAGGUCAAAUUGGAGUAAGUUUUUUGAGGGUUUUCACAUCAUAUUGAUCUCUAAACAUCACCAAACCACCUUGAGGUAACAAUUCUUCACCUAACUUUGUUAUUUGAAUUUUGCCAUGAUUGAAUAUUUUCUAUUUUUAGGCAAUUUUUAAUAUGUGAAGUUAGGUGCAUUUAUUUCAGCUUAUUGAUGCUAUUGGUGAUUGUUAGUGAUAACUAUAUUUUGUGAUUUGCAUUUAUUGUACUUAUUUGGUGAAUUCUUGCUAGUUUUAUGCUUAAUUUGGCUUGAUGACGAAGUUGCAUAUUAAGUAGCCAAAUGUAGCAUUUUAAUUAGCUUAGUGGGAGUUUUUUAUAUUUAUGUGAGUAAUUUAGAUUAUCUAAUGAAUGAAAAGGUGCUUGAUUGAAUGAUUUUGUGAAUUCUUAGGUAAUUCUAAAAGAAGAGGUGAAUUGAAGAUGACCUUAAUUGAUGAAAUUCAUAAAUGCACUUACAAUUUUUGUGGUUCAAUAGUUUUUAGUAUUUCAUGAAUUCUCACGAAGGUCAUUUAUAUUUUGGUUUGGUGUGUUUGCCUCCAUUUUGAGAUUACUUUUGUACUUGCGGGGAUUUGAUCAUUGAGGACAAAAUGUAUAAAUGGAACUUAUUUUGUUCAUGAUUGUGGAUUUUUUGUGUGAAAUUAGCUUCCCUUUGCUUUGGAUACUAAUGCAUAUAUUUGAUUAGUAAAGAUUAGCUCAUUUCAUGUUUUUAUCCCUUGAACAUUGUAUGGUUCCACAUGCUUGAUCAUUUUUCCUUUUUCCUUGAAUUGCAACCUUUUAUUUUUAAGAAAUUUAUUUUUUUUUAUUUUGUCUUUUUCAGGGUGCAAUAAGUGAACUUCCAUUCUUUCUCAAAUACGGUUGGAAAUUCAUCACUUGGACAUGGAUUUGGAUUGCGCAAGUCAUAAGGGGAGUAUUUUCUUUUACUCUUUCUUUAUUUUCCUUUUCUCACAUUGAGGACAAUGUGAAGUUUAAGUGUGGGGGAGGAAAUAUGUGAACUUGCAUUCUAAUGCUAUGUGAUGAUAUUUUGUGGAUUUAAAUGCUUAGAAAUAUUGGAAUUGUGUUUGAAUUAUUUGCCAUGUGGAUAAUUUGCUUGAAAUUGGGUUUGUUGGCAGGGAGUUUUCAUCCAUUUAUAAGGAGAAACUCUGUAAAAAUUUUUCUAAAAUCUUUUCCAAUAUUUCACUAUGGCCCAAAAGUUCUUCAAAUUUUUGCAUUUUCAUUCAAAAAGGGCAAAGUAUUCCAACCUUAAGUGUUUUAUUCUUCCAAUUGUUGAAACUUUAUGUGUAUUUUGGAAGGUUUAGUCCUCAUUUAACUUGGAAAUAGUUAUUAUGCAAUUAGAAUUUUUACAUUUUAGAAAGUAUAUUUGGUAAAGUGAGGAAAAUUAUGCCUAUAAUUUUACAUGUUUAAUGAGAUUUCUUCUCUUUAUUUAAUUUUGCAAGUAAGUGAUUGAUAUAGUCGAUAAAGGUUAUACUCCUCCUUCGAUUAUUUUUAUAUAUUUUUCUAUGAGGGAAAAAUAAAUAAAUAAAUAAAUAAAUAAAGGAAAAAAAAAGAAAAGAAAGUAAAUAAAAAUUGUUCUACUCCAAUGAUUCUCAUACCCAGUAACUGGGGGUUGGCAUCUAAAAAUGUCGAUUUUCGCGUAAAAAGGUAUUUGAAUUAAGAGUAUGCAUAGCAACUUGAAUAAGUGAAAUGUUGAGUAACCGGGGAUCUUCACCUAAAAGUGUCGAUUUUCGCGUCAAAAGGCUUUCUCACUAUUUAAGUAAAAUUAGUGUGAAUAAAUCCCUCUUAGUUGUAGAAUUUUGAAAAAAGGAUAAUUAUAGGAGGAGGAAGGCUAUAAAUUGACUAUGUGAAUUGCUUAUUUGUAAAAUUAAGUUAGGGUAAGAGAUUAAGUUUAACUUGUUGAAUUAGGGUAUAAUUAUCUUUCCUUUACUUGAUAUUAUGAGUAUUUAAUGUAAUUUGAACAAUUGUAUAAUGAUUAAUUUCCAAGUCUUGAGGAAUUAAAGUUGACAAAAGUGCAUAUAUUGUUUCACCUCUUGAAUCAUUGUAGUUGCUUAUGUGUGGAUUGCUUGAGGACAAGCAAUGAUUUAAGUGUGGGGGAGUUUGAUAAGUGACUAAUUUACGUAAUAAUUGUAUGACAUUUUAUAUUAUUUUUAGUCACUUUGGUUAUAUUAUUGGAAGAAUAUGAAUCAUUUUGGCUAUAAUUGGUGAAAAAUACUUUUAAGUGAUUAAAUGAGGUUUUUAUCACUUUUUACUUGGAUUUUGUGUAUUUUGACAGUUUUGACACAUUUUCGUAUUUCGGCUAUAACUUGAGUUACAAUGAUCGGAUUGGGAUGAUUCUUGAACCCAUUUGAAGAUAAGAGAUAGAUCUACAACUUUGGUGAAGACAUCUAAAUCCAGUUUGAAGGUUUUCUAGGUCAAAUUGCCGAAUUACAAUAGCAAAUUUCUACUAGUCGAAGCUGGAACAGGGCAAUGAGCAGGUAAGGGUAUUUCGGUCAUUUCUCAGCCUACACAGAUCCAAAUGAGGUGAUUCUUGAUGCAUUGGAAAGCUAACUCAAAGGGCUACAAGUGUCAUGUUUUGGUCAAGAGCUAAAUCAGCUUUUAUCAUCAAGAAAAAUGCAGUUGAAAUUGAGUCAAAAUCGGAGCAGAGCUGGAAAUUGAACCAGAAGUGACCAAAUGGUCACUGUAUCAAUCCGGCCGGAAUUUGGCCGGAUUUAAGGCCGGAUUUAUGGCCGGAUUGCGGUCAGAAAAGACUGCUCUGUACGCGUAAAACUCAAUUUCACUCCCACCAACUCACAUGUGAUGCUAUACAUGUGAGAAACAUUCCCAGCUGUAAAAGGGAGAUGUAAUCCUCAUUUCUUCACUACCUUUCAUCAUUAAAGAGCAAAAUUCAUUGCAAGAAGAUGGAGAGGGGAGUCCAUAGCAAAAAAAAUAGAGAGUGAGCUACGGGGAAAAGCUUGAAGCUGCAGAAAUGUAGCUCUUUCAUCUCCCUAGUGUUAGUUUAGCUUAGUAUAGAGUAGUGUAGCUUUUCCAUUCUUGUUUAUUAUCUAGAUUAGGAUGAAGAUGGAGGAUGAAGAAGGCAAGGAAGAAAGCUCAUGUGACAAGGGUUGUAUUCCUUCCAAAUUCUUUAUCUUUUGUAUUUGAUUCCAAGUUUAGUUAAUAUACAAGUUCUGGAUUUUGUGUUUAAUAUGUGUUUCUAAAGUUUAUACCUUGGGUUUGGUUGAACUUUCUAUAAUUGUUAGUAUUUAUUAUUUGGUUAUUUGAUUGCUAUGAUUUGAGCAAGUUAUUUAGCACUUUGGCUCUUUAAAUCAUGAUUAAUCUGGUACCAUUGAUUGUGAUUAUCUAAGGUGUUGUUUCUGCAAUGGAAAUUGAGAUUUAACACUAGUUCAAGAAGUGCUAAACAUAGGGAGUACACUCACGAAAGUAGAGGUGCAUCUAUGUGGUUUUUAGUGAUUCAUUUCAUGUAAUUUCAUUGAAGAAAUGAACUUGUAGUUAAUUUCAUAACCAUGAGAAUAGGUAUGGAUUAGUUAUAAGUAUAAUUGAUUCACUACGAAAGUAGGAUUCAAAUGCAUAAGGAAAUUACACCAUAACUAGCCUAGAUGCAGUAAUUAAUGAUCCAAAUAUAGCACUUGCAUGAGUAGUUAGGGAUACCACAACCUAAGGAGCUUUCAUUUGUUAUUUUGUAUAAUUUCAGUAGGUUAAAUUUGUUAUAAUUCAUUGAUAGUCUAAAUAAUAGAGAAGCUUUAGUAAUACCGGUAAUUGUUCACUCUUCCCUGUGGGAUCGACCCGAUAUAUACCCUAAACUACUAGUUGAUCUGUAUACUUGCAGUGAACGGGUGUAAUUCGGUUUUUUAACUUGUACGUAUGUAAAAUACCCGUCAGCUAUGAUGCUAUCUUUAUGUUUUUCUUUUAUAAUUCUAAAAACGUGAUGAUGUUAAAACUUAGAACUUGGAAGUUGGAACCAAGAUUCAGGAGGUACUUGACCUCCUGAACUCCUGCCAGUAGCUGAAAAUCAGACGGCAUUGUAUGCCACACCUCCGUCCUAAUGUGCCAAGGUUCAACUCUCAUUGCUGCAAUUUGCACUACCGCCUCUUGGUUGGGAUCCUCUCUGUUGAUCCCUCCUUAAAUUAUAUCUAAAUUACUAUAACUGAAUAAUUGUCCGAUUAUGUCAUUUCUUUUCUUUUAAUCCGUAGAUCAACAUACUAAAAAAUGAUUCUUUCAAGAACAUUUUGAUGUUUAGUUUAUUCAAAAUAUUUGAAUGAUAAAAAAUAGGUCAAAUUUGGGACAUAUUUUGUAAUGAUUAAUCAUGCAACAAACUUAGUCAAUUUCUUAUGAAAGUAUAUGUAUAAGUAACAUAUCUGAGUCUAAUCCCCUUCUCGACCAAUAUCCCCUCUAGUUUCAAAAGAUAUAUAUAAUCCUCUUAUAAUUUAGAUUAAAGUGUCAAAGUGAAGGAAAUGAUCAUUUGUAGUGGAGCCCAUAAAAAUGUUGAAAUUAUCCUUGUUUAAAAACUAAAAUGACUGAAGUUUCAAAUUAAGGGUCUUAACAAUUAUCUCUUUUGAUUUUUUGAGAUAAUGUAAGCACGACAAUGGUAGAUGUAAACACAACAUGCUAACAAGAUAGGACUGUCAAUGGGGCUGGGUCAGCCCGAGCUCGGCUCAUUCGGCCUGACAAAAAGCCCGAUGAGUCCGACAUUUUAGUGAGCCGGUCUGAAUUUGAACCUAAAAAUUAAGCCCAAAUUAAAUAUGAGCCGAGCUUGGGCCCUAUUAGGUUCAAACCCGAUAUAGGCCCGACCCUUUAAUUAUUUGUAUAUAUAUAUAAUAUUUAUAUUUUGAUAUUAUGUAUAAUUAUAUAUCCAAAUAUAUUAUUAUUAAAUACUAAAUAUAUAUAUAUAUUACAAAAUAUAAAAAUACCUCUAAAGACUCUUCCAUGAACUUUCUUGAGAGCCAAUAUUUGUGACGCAUAACUGAAUCUCUAACUUUUUUUAUUGGUUGAAUAAAUUUUUGUGUUGGUAUAAUAUUGGUUGAUUUCUUUUUGAUCUACAAACAUAAAUCAUCAAGCAUGUUUGGAUUCAAAUCACAAGAUUAUAAAAAAAAAUUUCAACUUUUAAAGAUGUAUUGGCUUAUGAUCGCAUAUUUUAUUACUAUUUUUCAUGCAUUUUGAAUGAAUUAAAUAUAAAUAUUGUUGAAAAAAUUUUGAUUUAUAUACUUUUUAAGAACUAUUAUUUGUUGAUGUUUAGUUUUAAUAUUAUAGUUUUGUAAAUGUUAAAUUAGUUUUACAACUUAAUAGUUAUAGUAAUUAUAUUAAGAAAAUUAAGGAGUAAUAAGUGAGCUUGGGCUAAACCCGAUUAAGGCUCACAACCCGAAUAUUAUGUGAGUUGAGUAUGAGUUUCACAUUUAUGAACUCGAAACUCAUAAUCUGAAACCCGAAAAUGUUCCAAAUUAAAUGAGUUGAGGUUAAACUUAUGAAAGUCCGACUCAUUAGGCCCGAUUGACAGGCUUAUAACAAGAGGCACGCUAUCACAUAAAUAAUAUUAUUUUCAAGAUUCACUAUCUAUUAUACCAUUUUCAACUAGAAAGGUUAGAGAUAUACAUUGUUUGGUGCAAUUACACUUAACAAUUGUUUAUUUGAAACUUCCAAAAUAGAAAAUUUAUUAAGAUGGAAGAUUAAGUGUGACUUAAAGCAAAAAAUUAUAUUCGUCAAAAACAAAACAAAAAAUCUUGAAACAUGAUUACAAUUAUUGAAGAAAUCCAUGAAAUGUUUGCAAAGAAAGCAUCACAUAAUUGAAAAGAAGAUAGUACUUGCCAUAUUUCUUGACGGCUUCAUGGAGAUGAGGAAUAACUCUUGGGAAUAAGUCAUCAGAGAGAUUGAUUGUCUUGGAAUGAGCUUCCUUGAGCAAGGUUGAAAUCUGUUUGAAGUCUCCAUAGAGAAAUUUGUAAGGAUUUCCUCUGAGACCUUGCUCUUUCAGCCGCUUCUCCAGCCUCUUGGGAGUUAACCACGCGCAGUUGAAUACUUUCCAUGCAAGCACUAGAAAGUAUAAAAGAAUACAAGAACAAAGUACAGCUAUAGGACUGUAGGCUGUCUCCAUUAUUGAGUUGCAGAUGAAAGGUUUUUUUUUUGCGUUCAGCUGCUCUAGCUUGCAUUCAUAUUUACACUUGGAAGUUGAAGAAAGUUAUCGUUAGAGUAAAUUACUUAUAACCCCCUAUGAUUUUAUAUAAUGCUAGAUGAUUUCCCUAAGGUUUCAAAAUAGCCACAUAACCCCCUGUAGUUUUAUGUAAAGUAGCAAAUGGAUAGAAUACACAAUCGGUUAUGACAUUUAUACUAAACACGCACUAAAAGCAAGUGUGAUAAAAUUUUAAUUUCCAUAUCACCCUUUUAUGGUAUGUAUAAAUAUUCACUUUGUCCUCCAGUGAUUUUUUCCAUUUAUUCACGUAAUCCUCUGAUACUUUUAUACCAGGCAAUUAAGCUGUCGAUUGAUUUAGUAUUUAAGUAAGGGCAUUUUGGAAUUUCAAUUAACAACAUUACAUAGAUUAUAUUUCGUUAAGUUUUCACUUUACGUAAAAUUAUAGGAGAAAUGAAGUGGACAUUUUGAAAUGUUAGAAGGGGUCAUGUGGCAAUAGACGAAACUACAAGGGGGAGAUGUAUAUAAUUUACCCUUAUCUUUACGACAUCCAAAGAACAAAAUUUAAAAUUUGGGCUUUGAUUUAUGUUCCAGAAUUACCAAAGUUGUGAUGUCAAAGAAAAAUAAAGAAUUGUCCAUUGGGUGGCAGGUGGUUUCAACGUUAAUCAGGUUGAUACCAUACUAUUUGUUUGUGAUGUCAAAGAAAAAUAAAGAAAUGUUCAUUGGGUGGCAGGUGGUUUUCAACGUUAAUCAGGUUGAUACCAUACUAUUUGUUUUAGUACAUCAACUUAUUACUUGAGGGGCCUUUUUUUCUUAAUAUUUUACAGAAGUUUCAGAGUUCGAAAACAUAAUCGAUUCUAAAGUUAAGGCAAGAAACUGCCACAUAGACAUAUAUUCUUACAAACUGUCUAGCAGUUGUCAUCAAAAUUCAAGCAAUAAUUAGAGAAUUAGAGUUCAAAUAUAAUACAGUGGCUUAUAUGCUCUUACCCCAAAAUUUCAUUUCAUAGCUAAAAUUAAUAAUUUUUCAGUUGCAAUGUAGACUCGUCUAAAAAUUUGUUACACUCAAAUGGAUUUUUCAAAAAUUGAUUGCAGAUAAUUUUCCUUUAGUCUCACAUUGUUCACAAUGUUGUUAAUAUUACGAUUUUUGUAUGUGAUAAACACGGUUUUUAUUUUAAAUAAGAUCUGUUUAUUAAAUAAUAAAAAAUAAUUACAUAAAGCCAGGAAAUUUGAGCCUUGCCACCCUAUUUUACGGAGCUGCAAGCAUAAUGUGUUUAACGUAAACUCCAAGUGAGAAUUUGCCUGUGACAUUCUCAACACUGAUGGUAGCACAAAGGCGUCUGGAUUUGAUUUUAGAAUCCUGUCAAGUUUAAAAUUAUUUUCCUAGUAUUGGAGUAAUCCUUCCACUUUUGAGACUUCUUUGAAACUACCGGAAUAAAUUAUAUCCCAAGAGUUAUUCACUCUACCACUUCAAUUUUUUUAACUACUUCCUAGGUCACCUGUAAAGUUAGGUUCAUUUGAAUUGCUAUUUUUAGAAAUUUUUAUAAUAAAAAAAUCUACUGUAUAGAUUUGAUGUAUGUGAGAUAAAAAGGUGAUUGAGAAAUGUGUUCGGGAAAAAUAUAAAAAAAUUUUGUUUAGAAAAUUGAAAUCUAAACAUGGCCUUACUUUCACAAGAAAUUUGGUUGAAUUUCAAGGAAAAAGAGUCUUGAGAAUCCUUAAAUGACUGUAUCAUCUUCUCUCACGGUCACCUAUCUAAACUCGGGUAUUCAGCAACUUCCAACGUUUAACUUAUUUAAAUGCAUCUUACUUUUCUAGAGGUAGGUACUUCGUUGAAAUUUCUAGAUGUAAGAAAUUUCUUAUAAUUAUAAGGCUUGUUUACUAAAUCAUCUACUCCAUAAAUAGAGAGUUUAAUAUUGUUGUUAAUUGAAAAAAGUAAAAUUUGAUAGCCUUGUUAUUAUGUGUGAUUAUUGAUAUAUUAUCAAUAUUUUUCCUCUUCUCCCACAUAUAUUUGUAUGUGUGUAAAUUGCCUUUCCAUAUACAUUGAUUUUAUGAAAUGUAUGUCAAACAAAUUUUGGUAGAAUUUUUUGGGUUCUACAUUUAAUAUGUUAAUAUUGUCUCUCUUAUAUCAAACUCUCUCCUGGAUCAGGUUUAAACACAAUCACGAACAAUAAUCUCCCUUAUAAAUUCGCCCAACAUCACUUUAUACUAGUUCUUCAUCUUCAAAUACUUUUCUCGUUGCAAUAAUCCAUGCACCUAAAUAGAUUGUUUCCACCGCACAAUUUGAUAUCAAUUUAUUGACAACUCACGUUGUAAUUUUGAUAAUCACAAUUCAACUGACAGGAUUCUUCACCGAUCUCUGUCUUUGCAAUCAUAAUCAAUCAGACAAGUCUCGGACCAAUCUUAUGAUCCAAUCUUCAUCGACUAGAUUUUUCAAGGCCAACUUGUGGUUAAACUCAAUCAACUGAAUUUUUCAUAGCAAUUCUUAAACUCACUGAUAGGGAAACAAGCAACAUUGUGUUCAGCGAUCAGACAACAGAAAACCCCAGACUAACCUCAUAGACGGGACCAUUUUUCGAUAUUCACAAGCAAGUAACAUCUCUCGAUAUUGCUUGAUCUUGUUUUGUUUUGCAUUGAUUUUGACCUCUUCUUCAUGACUCUCGUGUCAGUAUCUGCACUAACUUCAACUGCUGCACUAUUUUCCUCUACAACAAGCAUGCUGGUCUGACCAUCACCAACUUGCGGCAGCUGAUUGAGUUUAUGCCAACCUUGAAAAUUAGCCAUUGAUUUGAACUUAAAAAAUACAACAAAAAGAUGCUGAAAUUAAUUUGCCUUUAGCAUUAUGUAAGGGAUAAUCAAUUACGGCUGUCUUAUCCAUAUUCAAAGAAUAUGUGAAAUUUUAUAUUAACUUCAAUUCCAUUGUAAGAUUACAGGAGAUAACUUAAAAGGCUAAAGUUUGUGGAAUAACUUUAAAAUAUUAACAUGUGUGGCGCCUAUCACGUAGAAUUCUGUUGAAAACAUUUUUAAAGUACAUUGUAAAUUUCUAAAACAUAAAAAGUGACUAUGGAUAAGAUUCAUCUAAAAAAAAUGACUUCAAAAACAGAUAUAAUAUGUGCAAUGUGAUAGAAACUCUUAAAAAUCAGUAACUGUGCCAUCUUUUAAUUUAUCUCUGUCGUAUAAAUCGUAUGUCAAUUAAAGUAGAAUUGUUCUCAUAUUAAUGUCUCGUAUACUGUUAUACACCUCUCUUUAAAAAGACAAUUAGAAUAGAGGUAUUUAAUAGAAAAUAAUAUUGAUAACAGACAAUUUAUAAUAGAGGCGGUUUUGACUUGUACAAUUACGCAUGGGUCAUGAGUAUUGUGGUGGCUCUUGUUGACAUAACUUCUACCAAUUACUUUAUGUUGCUUUCUAAAUUUUUUGGCUAGUUCAUGAUGACAAUUGGUCCAACAAACAUGACAGGCAAAUCAGUUUUUGGAUUUUGUUUCUGUUCGACUUUACGUGCAAUUUUUUUCCUGUCUGCCCUUUUGUUUCCUGGUCUAUGCUUUCAGCUUUCUUUACUUCAUUGACCAAAUAAUUGUUCUUUUAUAGACAUAAACAAAAGAAUUUUAUUCAAACAAAAAAAAAGAACUUUAUUUGUUGUCCUAUCUCGGGUCUGCAUUUGUUGUACCUUCAAAAUUUUUUAUGUAGACAAUUCCAUGGUAAUAAUUUUAGGAGUUUCUCAUUGAUCUGUUACCAUUCGGUCGUUUAUUUUCUUUCUACCCCUUUAUUUUAAUCAAAUAAUGUUGGUAAAUUUGAUCAUUAAGAACGUGGUUUAGGAGAUUAUGACUGAAAACUAGAAAAUAAUUUCUGUUAAACCUAGCUUACUUUUCAAUAGUAUUUGAAUACCAUGCUUUAUUAUUAUUAUUAUUGGUUAUCUACAUUCCAUGCUAUGAAGCCAUUUUCAUUAUUUGUUCUUUGCCAUAUUUUUUUAUCAUAUAUAUCUAUAUAUCUAUAUAUAUAUAUUCGGAUGGACGGUUAGGAUUAACUCAAGGAGAGAGAAAAUUAUUUAAAAUUUGAAAUUUGAAUUUAAAAUUCAAAUUUCUUUGGCUACGUUUUUCCUAGCAUCAUUCGAGAUUUUUGACCUUUGAAACCAGUUCUGAGCUACAACAAACCCAACAAAAUAUUUGAAUAAUUUUCUCAAAACUCAUUAAAUUUAAAUUGCAGGAAUAUUUCAUUUACUAAGUUAUAAACCUACAGAAUAAUAGCGAAAUUACUUAUAAGCAAUAUUAAAUCUAAAUCAGGAAUUUCCAGUUAUGUAUUCAUCCUACAGCGUGUGCAUAAUCAAUGGAGCACCAUACUCUAAUUUAACUGAUAUCAAUUAGAUGGGAGCAUGGAUAUAGUGAAAACCAAUGUUUUGAAACUCGGACUGGCCAGCAAACCGAAGAGGGGGCUUGUCCGAUCGGUCCAAUCGGCAGGUUCAACGGUUUUCUGCUCUUUUUUUUUUUGCAACUUUAGUGUUAAGUACUUUAUAGGUCUUCAUUCUACACUACAAUUUAACAUGGUUAUUGAUAACUUAAGUUUCUAAAAUGCAUUCACCAACAUAACUAAAUUUAAGUUGAGAUAAUAACAAAUUUCCUAAAAGUUAUACAUAAAACCUAGAAUGAUAAACAUAAUUAAAAUAUCAUAAUUCACAAGUUUUCAUAAAUUCAUUACAAACAUAAAUAGAUAAAAUCCAAAUGUUCACCAAUUAUCACAAAUAAAAACACAAAAAUAAAUAAAAUAAAUAUUGAAAUUCUUUUACAAUCCUUAAAAAAGUUCAUAAAAGAGUCCAACUCAUAUUCAAGACAAACCAUUUGAAUAACAAACUUCCAUCAGUGGCAUGAUAAGCAACAACACCACCUUCACAAUUUCAUCAACUUAACCUGAAAAAGUUAAAAUUUUAUUAUAAAAAUAUAAAUCUAAUUGCUCAAACUCAAAAAACAAACCAAAAAAUUUUGAAAAACAAAGAUACAACUAAACACAUAAAAAAUUAAUUGCUACUAAACAUCACUAAUUAACAUGUUAUAUUACCAAUCAAUAAAAAAAAUCUAAUAUAUAGAAUAAAUGAAACUUUCGAGUAAGAAUAACUCUAACCAGCUUUAAAUGAAACAAACAUCAAUUGAGAUACAGUCAAUUUUGUGCCAAUAAAUUUAAUGGUUCUAACGACGCUAGCGGCAAGUGUAAAUAAAUGGUCAAUUGAUGGGAUCCUGAGGUUACCAUUUACGAAUUUACCAAGACAUACAAACAUGUGAUCCGAUUUGGCACUUUUUUUUUAAGCUUUUUGUUUGACAACUUUCACAAAUCAACUUUAACAUGUCUUUAAUUUUGUUGCUUCAAUGAAACCUAUAAAAUUCAAGAUGAAUGAGCGUUCGGUAAACUAAUUACUUCAGCAUAGAAAAAGCAAUAAAAACACAAUAAACAGCAUAGAAAAAACAUAACAAUCAUUGAUACAAAAUUUAUUAAUUUGAUACUUCAUCCAUGUCUAAUUUUAUUAAUUUAAUACUUCAUCCAAAAAAUAGCUUCUCCAAAUAUGAUUGCAAAAUAAUUAAUGAUUCAUAAUUUCAUCCUUAAUUAAUCAAAUAAAAAUAAAACAAAAAUUAGGGGAAACGGAUGAAAAUUGAGAGAAAAAAGAAGAAAAUGCAAAAAAAAUGGGCUAAAGAUAAUAAUAUAGAAAACCAAAACCUUGAAAAGGGAAAAAUUAAACUUACCAAGAUGAUGGAAAACAGGAAAAGCUCUUGAGUCUCAAAUAUCAUGUGAAAGUUGAAAUUUCUAACUUGUCUACAAUCUGCUAAAGAUGAUAGUCUGAUAAUAAUGGUGAAGGGUUGAGAAAAUCUUGUUGUGGAUAUUUGGGUUUGAAAGGGUUAAGAAGAAAAAAUUGAAAAACAAAAUUCAAGAGGAGAACUGGAGGAGCCGUUGGCCUAGAAGCCUGAAGCUGAGUAAGUGAUGGAUUGAAAGAAAAAUGCGUCUGUUGUUUCUUUUCUUAAUGUUAAGGUUUUAUUUUUUUUAAUCUAUUUUUUAGUCAAGUAGAAUUCUUAGGACAAAUUGAACUUGUUGGUCUAGUGGUAAGAUUGUCUUAUGUGAACAUGGAGACCCAGGUUUGAAUUUGCGCAGCUUCAUUCUUAACAUUUUGUUUGAAAAUUUAAAAAUCGCCGGUUAUGGUUUGUACGAUUUUUAACGGUUCAUACGGUUCGAUCAGUUUCUAGUGAUUUUUCAUUAACUUCCGGGUUUGAUACUAGACCGGACCGGUGGUAUGUCCGGUUCGCGGUCUAACCGGUCGAACCGGCCGGUCCGGUCCGGUCCGGUUCUGAAAACAUUGGUGAAAGCUCGAUGAAGAAGCAUUGCAGAAUAAUUGCCAGAGCCAACAGAUUUGCUUCCAAAAUAGCAAAACUUUUGCCAAUCCUGCAAUACAUGUACGAGGCCCCCAACCAAAUUGCAAGAAAAGCUUUCUGGAUUGAACUCUUUCAACACUUGGCCCCAUAUUUGAUGGCUAUGACUCAUGAUGAAGUCUCUCGGAAAGAUUUGUGUAGUUCACUUUAGGCCUACCACUUCAAAAAACGAUACAAGUGCUCUGAUACUCUCGCUCCCUGUACUCUUUAAUAGUUGUUGAAUUUAAAAAAAAAAUUAAAAAGAAUUAAAAUACAACAUAUAUGAAAGAAAAAUAGUAAUAUAAUAAAAAGUGAAACAGAAAGUGAUAUAAGAUAUUGAAUAGAAGAUCCGUUGUGUUUGAUACCACUUGUUGAGCACUCAUUGAUUUUUCUCAAGUGAUAGGCGUAAAAUAAAAUACAUAAAUAACACUCAUAACUUUAGGAUAAAAUGUUGACACUAAAUUAUUAUGUCCAUAAAGCACAGAUCAGCAAGCAAAUUCAGAAUAGCUAAAAACUUACAAAACCCAAACGCCAACUAAACUAAGCUCUUGUUUGAUAAUCCAAUUCAGCAUUUAAACUUAAUGGAUUUAGAUCUUAACAUAUUCAAACCGUUUGAUAACCAAAAAUUGAACAUCUGAAUUAAUUAAGUGGCACUGAAUUUCCUAGGCAAAACUUGCUCCCAAAAUUAAGUGAUAAGUUAUUCACUUAUCACUGAAUGUGAUAUGCGUUCAAAUGUAUUAGAUUUAAUACUUAACAAUUCAAUAACUUAUGGAUUCAAACUUCAAAUUUCAGAUUUCAGAUUUCAGUUUUCAUAUUUCAAUUUUAUCAAACGUACCCUUACUUUGCUCUAAACUUAUCACCAUAAAGCCUAUUUAUACUAGUCAAUGUCGUUUUAUCUAUUAGGCUUGUGGUCUUUGUUUUUACAAUUGCUAACUUGCACUAAUUUGAGGCGGUGGAAUAAGAGCUGAUACUUACAGAUUAUUCAAGAUAUGAACUUCUGGAGAGAUAGGCAGUGCAUCUUUAAUUGGAUGAACAAAAGAAACACGAAUACCUCCCUAUUAGGGUUGUAUGCGAGUCAAGCCACUCGUGAGUCGAUCUCGAGUUAUUUGAGUUAAAAUUCAACUCAAAUUCGGCAACACUGAACUCGAGUCGAGUUCAAACAUACUCAACUCGUUCGCUUACGAAACCAACUCGAUUAUAUAUAUAUAAUUAUUUUUUAUUUUAAUAGUAAAAUUACAUAUAUAUCCCUAAUACUUUAUUGUUUAUUAAGAAAAUUUACUAUUUUAUUCAUUUUUUAGAAAAUAAAAUAAUUAUUUUUAUUUUUUAAAGUUCAAACUCGAGCUCGAUUCAAUUCAAAUUUGAGGUCGAGUUCGAAUUCAAGCUUGAGUUUGGUAAAAUUAAGUCAAGAUUCGUUUCAAUUAGAUCAAAUUUCGACUCGACUCAACUCAUUUGCAACCUUACCUCUUAUCAAUUUGGUAAUACAAAAGGACAAGUUCAUGUGAUAGGAUUUCUUCAAAAGCACAUCCUUUCAAAUAAUUCAAUUUUCAUCAACUUUUCCCUUGAAACUUUUCUAAGUUGAACUGCCAUCCUCAAUUUUGUAACACGUAAUAGUGUGAUUCCAAUUUUUAUAGGGAUUAUGCCAUGGUAAUUGAAAUACAGCUAUAGAAUCGAAAAAUUACUUUAUUCAAGACCAUGAAUUGUUUAGCGUAACAGAUGUAAUAGUUGAAAAAACUUGAGAAAAAAGAACGACUUAUUAAUUAUUCUAGAAAAGAGAAGUCAUUCUUUCUAUAUUUGGAGAUUUUUGUAAAUAAGUAAUCCAAUCUCUCUAUUUCCUCUAAUCUCAAGAAUUUCAAGAGAAUAGGAAAGUGACACAAUAAGAAAAAGGGUUAAUUGUAAUAAACUCUCUUGAAAAAUGCCUCUUUCUCAUAUUGUCCCCUGAAUAUGUUAUUGAACCAAUUCGCCACCUAAGCUAUUGUAAUUUUCUCAAUCAACUACAAUUAGAAUAGGAAGCCUAAUUUUUGGUUGAAUCAGUGAUAUGCAACGCACAUAGUUUCAUGAAGUGACCAAAAUUUUGUCACAAGGUUUUAGGUUACCAAAUUUUUUAAUUACCUAUACUCUUGAAGAAAUACGUUCUAAACCACAUCUAAUUUUUCCCAAUAUCACUACGAAUUCUAAUUUUGCGCGUCUUUAUGAUAAUAAUUCAAGUUUAUUUCAAAUAUCAAUAUCUGGCUACUAUCUUUUGUAUCUUUGUUACAAAUGCAAAACCUACUAAAAAAAAUUUGAUCGUUAAGCACAUUGUACUCCAUAUUUUAUUAGUUCAAAAUUUUUUAUAAUAAGUGUAAUUAUCCAAAAUUCAUCUUGACUUAUUUUAUUUAUCUAAAAAUUUGUUCAAAACUUUCAAGUGAAAUGUAUACGUGAGGAAAGUAAUUUGUCAAUCGAGACCUUGUGCAUUUCAACAGGACAAAUUCAGCCUGAAGUUGGGCUCCCUAACCCAAUUUUACCUGAUUGGAAAUUUGUAAUAGCCCAGGAGGCGUAUAGGUUCAUUUAAACAUUCUGGGGGGCAAUUUGAGGAAGAGGCUUCUUUUUUGAGGGGCUUGUUAGAAAUAACUCCAAGAAAAUUUGAGAAGUCCUUACAAAUUAUGAUCUUCAUUUUUUAUUUGCUUGAAACACACAAACAAGAUAUGUUACAGUUGUCCUCCUCCAAAGUCUUUGUUUUCUAAUUUCCAAAGCAGUCCAAUCUCAAAUUUUUUUCUAAAACUUCAACGUAUAAUCUACAACAGAAUAAUGACUAGAUUGAAGAGCAUUGGAUUCAGGGGUCUCGGCAUUGAGGCUGAAAUGAUCAUGACAAUAACCAAAUUCCAGAUCACAAAAUUCUACUUGCAUGGACUACUGCACAUAAUUAAACAACAGACAAAGUAGAAAGAAUCACUUGGCUUUAGAACUGAAAGUUUUAGAAAGCUCCUUCAGUAGAGGAUUCUCUUUGAAUGCUUCAUCCUUUUCCAGAUGCCAUCUCUUUGAGGUAUCUUCAGCC
rnacentral:lncRNA from 1 species